ensembl:lncRNA
GGAGGGGCCACCAUUGUGAUGACAUGGUCGCAGGGAGCAGGCGAGAAUAUGAGCUGUCCCAGUAUGCAUGCAGCCUGUGGAUUGUACAUGCUUGGACUAAAUGGACCAUUUAGAGAGAUGGUCCAUAGGUUACAGGCACAAUACAUAAGGUUAUACUAUAAAAGAAAUUGCCUGAAGAAUCACCUUGUCUAGAAUAAAAGAAACUAGGAGAAAUCUUACUACAGGUAAGAAGAGCCUAUAUGAAUAAGUUUAUGGUAACUUUCUGAAGUCAGGCAAUUUUUUUGGAUGGUUUUAAAGCAGAUACAUUUAUUCCAAUACAGAAGCCAUAUGGAACAGACAGAUUUAUUACAAGAGCUUGUACUAAUGGCUACAGCUUGGACAUAUUCUGGAUCACUAGGAAAGAAUGCACAAAGAAAAGUUUUGGUAAUACUACAAUCUAUGUUUUGAGAACAAUCAAAUUCACAAUAGAACAACAUGAAGUGAUUAAUGGCCUAAGUAUUUCAAAUAUUCAAUUUGCUUUAUUUUUCCAUCUUUUUACCCAGUAGUAAUUUCAUGCUCGUUUUUAGUAGGCAGGGUAUUUUCUUGUAAGUGUGAACAUUAAGGUCGUAUUUAUAAGCAUGGAGAGUUCUUAUUACCAAGAUUUUUUUUUUUUUUUUUGAAAGUAAUUUUGAAAACCAUAGCAGGAAUGUGUUUUUGUUUUAUUGUAGGUUUCUGGAGGUGUUUGAAUAACUAUCAGACUGUCUUGUAUUCUCUUGUAUUCAGUUCAGGGAGAGUCACUUUUAGAAAAUACCUUGAGUACUGAUUUUUGGGUUGGGCAUGAGUCUAUUACUGAGAGUUUAGUCACCACUUUAUGAUAUUAUGCUAACUCAUUCUUUCUUGCACAUGUACAUUUUUGGAUGAGUAAGCAAAUUGUUUUCUUAAUCAUAAAAGUAAAAUAUUGCUACAGGUCUCAUUUUUAAAACGAGGCUACAGAUGCUAUUACCUUUUAGCAAACAACUUGUUGACAGUUCCUUGAUACCUGUCCCAUCACAGAUGUGAUGAUGAACUCACUUCCACCAAGCUACUGUGAAGGGUGGGCAUGCAGUUUGGAAGCCUGGCCUGCUCUGUGUUGCCAGGGGACUAAGGUAUCAAAUCAUAUUUUGGAUGCAUUUGUUCGGCCAAAUGGACUAACGUGGUUGGAUGCAUUCAAUAAUGCUGAUACUGCUUUUAAACGUUCCCUGAUGCUGAAAACACUAUAGUGGGAGGUAGGCAUUAACUAUAUUAGGUAAAUAAAUAAUAAUUUUAAAAGUACAAAUAUAGAUGGAGAAAAAUGAGUACGUGUGUAUGGAAGAGUGCAGAAGCUGACAGGAAGGUUAUGUAAGGAGAAAAGUACUGACCUGUAAUGCUGUAUACUUUUGUAUUUGCAUGUGGAAACACGGGAGUGGGGAGCAUGUGACAUAAUAGGCUUUUUUUUAUUGAAAAGUAAUGAGCACAGAUACACAUAUCAGAGGGGAAAGAGGUCUGACGUAUUGAAUGAAAAGUACUGAAAGGUUGAUAAUGGUAUUUCUCCUUGAUUUCUCCUAGUUGUUAUUCUACAUUCUGCUCUUCAAUUGUUUAAUGAAAAUACAAAAUAAUUAGUUGAAAUAAUCCUUUAUUUGAAGGACUAAAGAGCACUUUAUUUUUAACAUGCCUGUAAAAAUACAGUUGAUAUCCUUCAGAAAUGAUUCAUUUUUACUGGAUUAAUGCCAGUAACUGAAAUUAUUAGUGGCAUAGGAUGAAAGGGAAAAAAAAAAAAAGUAGUAGUAGUUUGGAUAAAUCAUUCUUUGGAUACAGUACUCUUUCAUCUGUAGGUAUCCAGCAAAUUCACUUUCUGCUAAUCUGUCAGAGGUUGCAAAAGGAGCAGGAAAUAUUUCUGAAAGAAUAUUAACCAAUAAAAACAUUAGCUCUGUGUCUUGCAGCUUCUAUUUAUACUAAUGAAUUGAUAGUCAGAUAGUACAUUGGAGUUUGUAAAAUGUUCCCAUUAUUUUUAAAUGAGAAACUGGUGAUUAGUCAUUCAAAUAAAUUGUAAUUAAAUGGGAACAUUAUGGUUAUAUUAUGCUAAUGAUAGAAGUGUGUAUUAAAUGUUUGCAAGUUAUUCAAGAGAAUGUAUUAGGUAAUUAGAAAAAAAAAUAGAGUUUGUUCACUCUGAAGCUAUCAAAUAACUUGAUUUGCAUUAACAAUUUUAAAGCUCAGUAGUCUCAUUCAUAAUAAAUUGCUGCUAAGUAGGAGAUAUUCCACCAAACUGAGGUUUAGGAAAGAAAAAAGAAAGAGCAGACUAUCACCCUGAUGUUUUAAGGGUAUGUUUUAAGAUUAUGUAUAACAUAAUUUCUAAAGUAGUCUUUAGAGGCCAAGUGAUUUUGACUUUUAUGGUAAGUUAUUCAUUAACGCUACAGCAUCAUUUCAUAGCUGUUAUGCAAUUCAGUGAUCUCCUCUGAGAGAUGCUGGGAGGCCACGAUAAACACGAAUCGUUAAGUUUUCUACUUUGAAAUGUAUGAGAAAUUUUAUGUGUAAAUGGCUCAGUCGAGGUUCUUGUGGGUGUAUUACAAAGAACAGAAUUGAAUAUAUAAAGCAAUUAUUUAAAAAAUGAAUAAAAGUAUCAAUGGAUGGUUUUAAAAGUAAAAGAAAAAUGGUGAUGUGAAUUCCAUAUAACAUUUUUAAACCAUAAAAGAAGUAAAAUAGAAAGAAAAUACAGUGUUUUGUGAAAAUGAUUUUUAUUAUUUUGAGGGAAACGGCGGUAAAUAGCAAAGCAAAUUAUGCCAGAAAAUAUGUGUUUUUAAUGAUAUUCAAAGUGAGAAUAUGACACGAACAGGAAUUCUGCAGUAAGACCAAAAUUUGAUUUUAUGCACUAUUUGUUUAUUUUAGAUUCUUUUUUUCUAAUCCAUGAUUAAAUACACUCUGAGAAGAAAAGCAUGGGUGUCCUGCAUGUGUGCUGAAACUCCUACAGGCUGCAUUUAAUGUAACUGUUGGUCUUUUUCUCAAAAUUCUUUUGAAAUCAACUAUUAACUAUCUUUUGUUAACAUUUCACAGAUGUGAAGAAACAGAAAUAAACUGUUUAUCAGAGAGGUAAUUAUAUACUUACAGUAGGAAAGUUCUUGCCAGAUUUUCCUUAAUCAUAAAACUCCAUAUCAGUUUAAAAUACAGUUCAUUUCUUGCAUGCACCCCUAGCUUUUGUGUGUACAAAAGGUCUGACAAAUGAUGGCAUCUUGAAGAAAAGUGCUGUUGGAAUGUUAUUGAAAAGAAUGAGCCUUAGAUUUGCAACACUUCCUAGGAGACAUGAAUUGUAAUAUCAUUUGGAAACUUUAUUUAUUUAUUUAUUACUUCUUACUGAAACUUCACAAACUGUAUUUCAGGGCUCAUUGCUCUCUUCUUGUCUGCUAGUUGUCACAUGUUAGUAAUGUUGUGUGCUAGGAGUUAGUGGAAAUGAGGUCAUCUUGUUCUAAAUUAAAGAUGCAGUAAUUGUGUAGGAUAAUGUCUCACCAAGGAAAAUGGCUUUGUUGAGUGUUAUUUUUCAAAAGUUUAAAAACUUAUUCAUGAGCAUCAGCUGACGUAUUUUGCUGAUGACAGUUCUCUUAGGAAAACAGAAUUAGAUACAAUGUUAGUGUUACUAUCAAACUCAAUAAUAUUGUGGUUGGUAGCCUGAAAACCAUUCAAGUCAAUAGAAAUUUGGUAAUUCUACUUAAGCUUAGAACAUAUCCCAUGGAAGACUAAGUAAAGAUACUGGGUGGACUCUAUAGUAUCACAGUGCUGGAGUUUUCUGUGGUAGCUGUUCCAGUGGAUUGACUUCUUUAUUAUGCUGUGUUUGAACUAAUCUGAAAUUGAUAUAUUUAAUGAACCAAAUUAGUCCUAACUGUUUGCUUGGGAAUAAUAAUUAAAAUCACUAAAACAUUAAUUUACAUCUUGGGGGAUUUUGUUCUACAAAUAGAGCUAAGUAGAAAUACUUUCCAUUAAUCAUAUUGAGGUGAAAUAAAGUACUCUCAAAAUCUUUAUAGAACACAGGAGAUCCUGACUAUUCUCUAUACUGCCUGAAUAAAAUAAUGGAUAGGGAUGAGUUUCUUACUCUCCCAUCAAAUGCUGUAGUAACCAGGAGCCACUAGCUUCUUUUUUUUCUGUUAGACUUAUAGAAUGGAUAUAUUAAUUUGUGUAGUGUUUUAUAUCUGGGUCUAUUCUAGCAGUUCCCCAUGCCAAUAGCUUAACAUCAAAUUUUCUUCAUAUAACAUUAGUAUUUAAAUAUUUAUAUAAGCAGAAACAUUUUAAAUGUAAGAAUUUAAUCACCAUAGCAUGUCACUCUAGUAUAUAUAUAUGUAAAUAUAUCUCAAUCUACUGUCAUUUAACUUGAGCAAAAUAUCUGUUCUAUUGGUUUUAUUUACAUAUUAUACUGUAGAUGUGAAAACAGUGUAAUACAAUUUAACUGGAAACUGGAAUGUUUUGCAGCCUACUCAUAAUCCAGCAUGUGAUUAUUUCCAAUUAGAUAUUUAGUAGUGUAACCCACGGUUUGAGAGAGAUGAAAAAUGAAAAAAAUGUAAAGAACUGGAAGUAGGUGAAUUCAGAUCUUAAUGUUUAAAAUUGACUAAUGACAAAGUCAUCUCACCUCAGCCAUUUUGUUUGAACAGAGAGGUGUUUAUUAUUGGGAGGUUAUGCAUCUGCAGCUGGCUUCUCUGAAAAAUGUAAUCAAUCUAUGUCCAUAACUUCAAGACUACAAAACUCUUGUUGCCAAGGAGAAAAUUUCAUGCUGAAAAAGUUCUUUUUCUCCUCUGUAAAACAAAGUGUAUUACUGACAUGAGAGAUGCAAACUUCUCUUCUGAAUUCUGUUUGUUUGCUAUGCUUUUCUAGACUAAACAACAAUCUAGUUUUAGUCGUGGUACCUAUGUAUAAAUACACAACCAUCUUCUGAGCAAUACUGCACACAGAUGCUGUACGCACGUUCCUCAGGAUUGUCUUGUACCAACCACUGUGCUUCACUUCUGUGUCUGGAGAGCAACUGACAUAAUGAGCAUGAGCACCCUGUCGACAACUAAGAAAGUCUCCUACUGCAUAUGUGUACUACCAAAGAUGAUGCUUAACAUAGAGAAGAACAUGCAUCAGUAAGUGUAGAAAAGUCACAACUGAGUAAGUAGUUUUCCUGUCCUAUAAACACUUUUUUCCUGAAAAACACCAUAUAAAUUUGUAAGUGCAUGUGAUAACUAACAUUAUCUCACAUUUACUUGAUGCAAUUGUUGCUUUUCACACUUGCUAGAAACAACUACUUUGUUUUGUUGCUAGUAAAACUGUGGGAGCUCUACCUCAGGGACAGAUAAAGUACUGGGUGAAGUUUUGCAGGAAUAAAGGUAUAUUUUGAUUAGUUACAUAGAAAGAUCUAGGUUUGCCCUAGAAAUCAAUGGGAUGUAGCUUGCAUUUUUAUUAGCUUGCUUGCUGGCAACUUCUUCCUGUCUGUAUGGAUAUUCCCCCACAGGCUGUGUUUGAAUUCACAGAAGGCUGUGAAAGGCCUUGAAGAAGCUGCUACUCUGCUGUAAGAGAGCAUUUGUGUAAAUACUCUUGACUGAGGCAGACGUCUAGAUCGGGCCCUGGUUUCCCCUCUACUUCCACAGCAGAGGAUUUUAAACCAGCAUUCAAAGGAACUUUCUGUCUACGUGAUAGCUCAGCUAUCACAUAUCUAGAACUGCAAAAUUCAAUACUCUGCUUUCCUGUUCAUUCCUUAUUAUGUUGCUGAGAGUAUUAGUUAGCUUUAGUCGUAAAGUGGCUUUAAGGUUGGACUAUGAAAAGACACCAUAAACUGCAUCCAUAUCAGACAGAGCCAGCUUGCAAUUGUUUACAAAAGGGACCUGCUGCUGGCCAGAGCUGAGCCAAUAAGCAAUGCCAGUGGUACCUCUGUAAGAUCAGGUUUAAAGAAAGGUACAAUGUACCGUGUAGCUUUGUGAGAAAAAUGUGAUAGAAACAGCCCCACAGACACAAAUGUCAGUGAAGAACUGGGAAGAGGGUUGGAGCACAGAUUCCUCUACAGAAUACCAAGGUAAAGCAGAUUGUCCCUUGGUAUCUCAUGGAAGAGUACCUGGAGGAGCAGGUGGUUGUGUCCUUAAGGAAACUGCAGUCCAUGAGGAACCCACACAGGGGAAAGUUUUCUGUCAGGAACUGAAUGUCCCAUGAGGUCCACACCAGCGCAGUCUGUUCCUGGUGAAACGUAACUUGUGGAAACAACAAAUGCUGGAGCAGUUCAUAAGGAAUUGCAUCCAAUGGGAGAGACUACAAGCCCCAUUUUCCAUUGCCCAUGCCACUCAGAGGACAAGGAAGUAGAUCAGUAGGGAAUGAAAGAAUGAAGUUGAACCAUCAAAUAAGGGGGCUAUGGGAAAGGUGUUUUGGUUGUGAUUGUUUGUUGUUUAUCUCAAUAUCCUAAAAAUAGAUUUAAUUGGUAAAUUAAUUUUUUAUUCCCUAAGUUGAAUCUGUUUUGCUCUUCACAAUAAUUGGCGAGUGAUCUCCGUGUUCUUACUUCCUGGAGAAAACAGAAUGGGGAUCUUAUCAACACUUAUAAAUAUCUUAAAAGGCAGCUGUCAAGUGCAUGGGGCAGGCUCUUUUCAGUGGUGCCCAGCAACAGAAUAAGGGGCAACAAACAGAAACUGGAACACAGGAAGUUUCAUCUGAACAUGAGGAAAAACUUCUUUACUGUGAAGAUUACAAAGCACUGGAACAGACUGCCCAGAGAGGUUGCAGACUCGCUUCUGGAGAUAUUCAAAACCCACCUGAAUGCUUUCCUCUGCAACACGUUGUGGGGAACCUGCUUUAGCAGGGUGUUGGACUAGGUAAUCUCCAGAGGUCUUUUCCAGCCCCUACCAUUCUGUGAUUCUGUAAUUUGACCGAUGAGAUUAUUUGUUCUGUCUGUCCUACUGAAGAGGGGGAGGGAGUGAGCACCUGGCUCCAUGCCAUGGCUAACUCAACACACUGAAGCAGAAUUAUAAUGGCAGGUGCACUCUUUUAUUAAACAGUUACUUAUUUUUGUACAAAAAUAUGAUGCACUUGCAUUGUACUUCCACUAUAGCCUAAAGGUACUAAUUUGCAUUUAUAUAUUCUGGAAAAAAAAAAAUUGAUAACUGAUUGUAUUGUCUGACUGUAACCGAAUUGAAAUUCUUGAUCAGUGAGAGGAUUACUUUAUUUUCUGAAGUUUCUGCUUGCAUUUUUUUUUUUUUUGCAAUGUAGAAAUCUCUCAUCUCUAAUUGAUGUCUGAUUUCUUUUCUAUAAAUGUCUUCUGCUCAAAAGUCUUCAUUGCAGGCUUUCUGUAAAUUGUGUGCAUUGAUUGUGAAGUUCUUGUCCUUAUUUCCAAAGCCCUGAGUGGCUAUGGUAUUGGACUAAUUUUCUCUUCUGCAUUUUCUAAGCUGUUAAUUACAGUCUGAAUCAUAAGGUUACUUUUUUUUCUGUACUGUAAUUUGGUGAGCUGUGAGUCAUGAAGUUUUUGUAGCUCUGUCCUUUCAACGAUAUUGCAGGAUCCUUUCCUGCUGCCCACUUGGUGUCCUUAUUUAAAAAUAACAUUGAAGAAAGAAGCUUUUGCUUCUACUUUUAACUUGCUAGUUAGUUGUACUUGUUCAGUGCUUCAAGACUUUUUUUUUUUUGUUAAGGAUAAUAUGCUAGGUUUUUUAUGGUUAGUGAGUUCCCCAAGGUACUAGCUGAAAUACAAAUGGUUAUUAAUAAUAUGUAUGUAGUAAUAAACUGAAAAUGGCUCACUAAAAUGUUUUCUGGGCAGAUUUUCAGGUAGAAUAUUGUGCAGUAAAAUAACAAUUCCUUUUAUUUACGGUUAUUACUGUGAUUUUACUAGUAUAUUUUUAUACAAUUAAUGCAAAGUAAAUGACGUGUAUGUGAAGGAAAUUGAUUCCUCAUAGCCUAUGCACUUAUCUCUCUUUGACUGCAAAAUUGGGUUUGAUUAUUGUGUUAAAGAUAAGAAAAUGUUGUUUGUUUGUCUUCUUUUUAAAGUCAUAUCUCAUUGACAUAUCCAAAUAUUUAAAAUUUUGUCAUUACUUUUUACUCAGAAAAAUAUUGGAAUAUUUCCCAUUGCUAGAGAGUCAUUCAGACAAAUGUGAGAGUUUUGAGUAGCAAUUGCCACAGAUAGCUGAGUUCCAUGUAUUUGAUUUUUUCCCCCACUAGAAGAGGAAAUAUGAUUGAUUACUACUAGAGAAUGAAGCAGAGGGACUGGCUGAUUUAUGUGAAAGACUUCUGAUUAAAAAUACACAUAAACCUAAAACUCAAAAUAGAUUUCAUAACUCAUAAUUCAAAUUACCCUUUUCUUCUAAGACUGACAGAAAAAAAUAUUUGAUUUUAACCACUUGGGAGGAGAAUUCUUUUGUGGAGUUUUCUUCUUUAAUUUUUUAUAUUUCUAUUCUGAAUGUUCUCAAGCCAUAUAUUAGUUGUAGGAACAGUGAACUAUUGUUAUAGAAUUCCUCAUGUUGGAAAAGACAUUUAAGGUUAUAUUAAACAAACAAAGCAAAACAAUUAAUGAUGUGAGACUCAUGAAAAAUGUGAUAAUUGGCAGCAGUGGAACACAGAAACCAGGACACAUACAUUUCUAUCGUGUCAUAAUAGUCCCCUGCACCCUUCUUCCAUUAUUUUAAGCCUCAGCGUAGGAACCCUCAUAUUUCACUUGACUAACAUUUUCUUCUCUAAAAGAUGUUUCUGUUCCUCUUGAACAGCUUUGACAUUUCUAUUAUUAGCAACAGGCCUCUGCAACUGGUGAAGUGAGAUGCUGGGGGCUAGAGGUGGACUGUGCUUCUUUCGCAGGAAGUUCUGCUGGGUUUGUCUAGGGGCAGAGGCAUAUAAACGAUUCAUCAGAGGUUAAAAAGGUUGCUUGGGUCAGCUGACCCACAGUAAAUAUGCAUCUUAGCUCAGGGCAAAAGUAAAAUAGUUCGACUUUCUUUAAGGAAAGCAAACUUGGUAAACCAUACGUACUUGUAUGGAUACACCACACACUGGCCAACAAUUUGUGUGGACUACUGCACAUGUUUGAAUUGUUCAGCUGUGUAAAAUCAUUUGUCUGGUUUGGAUUUUCUGUCUUGCAUUUUCCUCCCAAAGGGACCGUGUGUAGAAACCCUCCAAGGAGCUAUUUCUGUGCUCUGAUUUAUAUUGCAUAAUUAUACACAAUGUUAGGAAUAUUUGAUAGCUGCUGGAACAGCUCUGUUGAUCUGAGUACAUGAGUCUCCCUUCUGGCAGCAGUGCCUCCUCUGUACCAGUGACUCUUCUCACAUGGCAGCUCUGCCCAUCUUGUAGUAUCACACUUCUGCUCCUGCCAACUGGCAUGAAUGGUCUUGUGUCUCAUGCUGAAUACUUAGCACUCAGACCCUUCGUGUGCACAUAGUAGAUAUUGGGGCUAAAAUCUGUGAAGAUGAUAUUCUUAUGGCUGCAUGGUUUUCUUUCAACUGUUUCAGUCUCCCUUUUGAAACUACAUUUUUGCAGCUCUCAUUCUAUUUGUUUCUUAUGUGAAAUUCAAAAGAAGUUAUCUUGGGGCCUCAGUUGCCUACACAUCACCUUGUUUAGUUUCAGAAAUGUUCUCUCUUUCAAAAAAAUAAUUUAUGAUUCAAAUGGUGGCUUCUUAGUCAAAGGUCACACUACUCUGUCCAAAAAAAAAAAAAAAAAAAAAAAAAAAAAAAAUCUAUAGGUUACAGUGUCUGGAAUCAAUCACUGAAGAAUCCAAGAAUCCAUCUCUCUUUGCAUGGCCAAACUGAUCUCUCUUUUGUUGGUUUAGCAGCACGUGGAGUCGUGCAGAAAUAUCUUCCCAGUUUGGGAGCUCAAUCUUGCACAGUUUGGGCUGUCAGAAUCUGUUGUGUGAAGAUGUCAUAUACCUUUCUUGUGGGAGAGUAUUGUAUGUAUUUGAGAAUUGCUGGAAAUUUACAUCCCUCAGAAAAAGAAAUCUGCUGCUUGAGGAACUUGGGAAGAAGGCAGAGGAAAGGAAUAUCUCUGGUAACGUUCUCUGGAAAGAUCAUAAUACUCUACGCAGGAGCAAUGAGAGAGGCAAGGUAAAGCAGAGUUUCUAUACCUGAGAAGAUGAUAUAAGAAAACAAGCUGCAGGUUCACCCAGGGGCAGCCCUUAGCUCUGGUAUAAGGAGAAACUGUAUGGUUUUCACCAGAGCCUAAAGGAAACCAUGUAUCCAAAAAAGGAACAAAUUGGUUCUAUGCAGGACAGAAAACCUUUGGAGUCAAUAGCAGGCAGCGUGAAUGUCUAGCUGUAAAUGUAGACACUGAUUUAUCAGAGAUAUAGUGGAAAGAAGAGAGUUAGCAGGGUACUUUACUAACAGGAAAGAAAACAUAUAUGAAAGGUGAACAGAGAUGUAUUUCAUGUUAGAGACACUUGACAAUCUAGCUGCAUUAAUGCCUUAGUGCACAACACAAAAUUCAAGCUAGAGUUAAAUCCUACUUUCAGCACAAAAGGAGCAAAAAUCCUUCCAGAGAUCAUGUCAGCUGAGGACCUAACUAAAGAAAAGAGUACUUGGAGAGGUCACGGUAGUUAUAUUAAAACAAUUUUGCUGGUCUCUGUUUCAGGUAGGAAAAUGGAAAGUCUUCUGUACCAGAACCUUUACUAGAAUCCUUUUUUUUUUUUUUUUUUUUAGAGAAGAAAAAGGAUCAAUAACAAUCUUCUACAGAAAAUGUGUUAGUAGUUGUUCACAAACAUGGAAAAUUGUGUCUAAAAAUUGUCAGGAUUGGAUGGUAUUCAGCCAAGAACUUUAAGGCAACUUGAGGACAAAACAUCUAAAUUACUGGCUACAUAUAGUUAAUGGCAAGGAUAAAUAACUGUGUGCAACCUUUUGCCUAAGUAUUCUUUGAAAGCAGGUUUCUAGAGGGUGGUAAGUAUAAUUCUAAUUUGGAAACUUCAGGCCUGCAAGCCUAAUGUCUGUAUAGUAGAAGACAAUUCAUGGAUACCUGAGUAAACAUGAGCUGCUUUGGUAAAGUCUUCUGAAAAGCAAGGAUCAUCUUUAGAACUUCUGAUAUUUUUUUUCAGGAAGUCAAUGAGCUUGUAGCUAGUGAUGAUCUGUUUGACAUGAUUUUGGUUUUUGAAAAAAAGCUUUGACAAAUUCCUAACGUUAAGCUUGUAAUGUACUUAAGUGGCCAUGGCACAGGAGGGGAAAAAAUUGGCAUAGAUUAGGAAGAAAGUGAAAAAUAGUAAACAGAUUUUUUUUAAUAGUGUUUUUGUUUGUUUUGUUAGAUAAAAAUUGCUGGUGGUGGGAGGGCUCUGUGCUAGGGUAAAUGUAUUCACAGAUCACUAGAAAAGUAAGUUAGCAGUAAAAUGACAAAAUGUGAUGAUGGUACUAGGUUUUUCAGGGUAGGUAGGAUGAGAACUGGAACUGAAAAAUUGCCAGAAGAUAUUAGGAAACAGCAUGACUGGACAACAAAAUGGCAGGUCAAAUGCAUUGUAGAUCUAUAUUAAUGCACACCCAGAGAACGAACUCUGUCUUCAUAGGGAAAGACUCUGUGCUGGUCACCAUUACUAGGGAGUGAUACCUGAGAUCUCUGCUAAGAAGAAUUUUCUGACUAGUAUUUAUCUUCGUUAUGUAUUCCCAAAAGAUGUUGCAGAGAUGCAAAACUUUGUGUAGCCUCAAAGGAGUGAUUGAACAAAUACUUAGAAUGAAUGUUUAUUGUUGAUUACUAAACAGACAAACUGCAACAUGCUCAGGAAAUUUCCUGAACCGUAACUGAUCAGAGGACAGGAAAGCAACAGACCAAAAAUUACAAAGAUUUGCUCUGUUGUUACUCUUCUCUAAAAGAGUAGUUAUUCUGUAGUAUUCUUGCUCAUAGCUACUAUCAGAGAUGAAAUAGUCUAGACAGACCCUUGUUUUCAUCCUGUAGGGCUACUCUUUUUAUGUGUUUGUUGUUGUUGUUUGUUUUGUUUUGUUUUUAACUUUUGGAAGAUUCUUAGAGUACAUCAAGACAUUGAUGUAACGAUGACAUAGAGACACAAGACAUCUUUACCUUGUCCUGCUGUUUUGGCCCUAGAUGAAGAGAUUAUAGCACACAUUAGUGCCAUACUCUCCCAUGCUUGCCAUACUAACAGUUACUUGCACAAACAAGUGGAUGGCACAGAGCUGCCCACAUCAAAUCUGUGCUGCUUUGGAUCUCUCGGAGUUGAUAAAUGCUCGUGGGUAGGUCAUUUCCAAAUAGUACUGGCUGUUUGAUUUUCAUAUUUUGAUUUUCGUAUUUUAUAUGAAAAGUCAGAUAUGUACUCUUAUUUAUAAGCCUCUUGUAUUAAAAUUCAUUUUUAUUUUUCCCACCAACUUUCAGAAGAGAAAGUCUUGAUGCCAAUAGCUCAAAUAUCUGAAAAUCAGGAAAAAUUAGAAAAAGUAGUAGCUGGUUUCUGAAAGCUAUGGGAUUCCAUAUUUAGACUUUUCUUUGUGUGUGCGAAUCUGGUUUCUACCUUAAUUCUAGGGUGGAUAUUACACUUCAUAACAAAAAAAAAAAAAAAAAAAAAAAAGCAGGUACGUUUUUUUCACUGUUUAUUUGAGCUCCAAGGUAAUAAUCUAUAUUAACUAUUUUAUACCUUUGAGUCAGGAAGGCACUCUAUGGUUGACUGUUAUUGAGAUCUUUCAGAUAAGCUGUACAUUUGCACUCAUUAUAAAUUAUUUCACAAGGAGAAUGAGAUCAGGUUUGAAACAGAAUUUCUUACAACCACAUAAUAACUUAUCAGUCUUAUUGACAAGCAUUUUGCAAAACAAUAGUAUGGUGCACAGCUUAUGUAUGAGCAAAUAGAAUUACUGCUAACAUCUUUUAAGGCACUUGUCACACACUUUCCCCUCAGUCAAACACUGUUAGCUCACUAAUCAAUCUGCUUGUCAAAAAUGCUCUUCUUUGGCAGAAGAGACUGAGAAGUUUGACAAACUGCAUUAAGUUGGUGAUGUUGAUUAAUGCUUUUCAGUUAGUAGCAUUUUGUUGAACACUAUAAAUUAAGAAUUUUGAUGACAGCUGGCUUUUCAUAAAUUACAUACAAGAGGAGCUUAUCAUUGCAAUGAAGCAAUUUAUUUUUCCUUUCCAAGAUUUCUUAUGACUGCUUCAUGUGAGUUUCUGUUGCGUAAAUUCUUUAUUUCUUUUCUUUCAACUGUUAAAAUGUAAAUAGCACACUUUGAACUCAGUAAUCCUUGGUGAAAAAGAAAGAAAGAAGAGAAAGAAGCUUGAUUCUGAAGCUGCUGAUUUUUCUUGAUUUUUUUUCAAAGCCAAAGAACUGUAAGGACAAAACUGAAGAGGUAUAAGCCUUUUCAGUAUUUUUGCAUAUCUCAAAUGUUUGUCAUUUUCUGUAAGAGAUUUGCUAAUGCAAGGAACUCACAUACAAGCAAUAGUCCACAGAAGUUUCUUUAGUGAUUAUUCUAUUAAAUUUAGGAGUUUUUAUUGCUUUUGACUUCAUUCAUUUUUUUUUAUCCAGUACCUGAUUUAGUAGUGCCCUGUGGCAGAGGAUUGGAAUUACAUGAUCUCUUACAACCCAAGUCAGCCUUCUUCUACCACUUUCUCUCUGCCGUAUGAUGUGUGAGAGAUGGGGAAUGGGUGCUAUGGUCAGUCCUUACAAGUUCCUCUCUGCUGCUCCUUCCUCCUUAUGCUUUUCCCCAGCUCCAGCAUGGACUUUCAUGGGCUACAAUCCCUCAGAAUAAAUCUGCUUCAGUGUGGCUCCUUCCCACAGGCUGCAGUCCUUCAGGCUAAAUAUGCUCCGUAGUGGGCUGUCUAUGGGCUUUUACUUUCUUUGGAAAAUAUUCACCUGUUCUGGCAUGAGAUUCUCUAUGGGCUGUAGUAUUGAUAUCUGCUCGAUUUAGGGUUUUCUCCUUGGUCUGCAGGGAAAUAAUCUUUAUUUAAAUUUUCUUUAAAUUGCUUUUAUGCUGAUCAAAUUAGGUGAGAACAUGACGUUUUGUUUUUUUUUAACAGAAAAACAAACUACUGGUUUCUGUGUGGCUUCAUUCGCAGUCACAGAAAGUGAGUGAUAGUUUAUCUAACUGAAACUACAGGAGGAUUUUAAUUAAGCAGAAUGUAAUGAUUAGAAUUGCAAUUUUGAAAGAAAACUGGGGCUACCACUCCCAACUAAGCAUGUGUUUUGACUAAUGUUAAAAGCUUUGUUUUUCUAACUCAUAUAGAUUUUAAGACAAUUCACUUAUAAAAGGAGAAAGGAGACAAGAAAGAAAGAAAGGCAGUGGGAUGCCAGUGCUUCCUUAGUUUUCCUGAACUCACCCAUGCAGUGGUUUUCCUCCUAAGUACUAAUGAAACCAGAUACUGCUUUACUUCCAAAUGGAACAAUACAAUUAGAAGCCACAUCCAUAAUAGCUUUUGAAACUAUUUUGUUAAUCGGGCACUUCUGCUGCUGAGUCAGCAUGGUAUGCUCACUGUAAAUUCACCACUUACAUAUCCUGAGCAAUGUUUUUAACUUCAGUGUUCAGACUCUGGAAAAGGCUACGGGUGACAGUUCUUCCAUGAAGAAAUGUUUAUGCUGUUGAUAUUUAUUGCUACUUUCUUGUCUUUUCCUUUCUUUUCUUUUUUUUCUCUAGUUGUUAAAUUGUUUUUUUGUUGUUGUUGUUGUUGGUAAAUAUUAUUUGGGAUUUGUAUCUUUAUAUGGAGGAAUGAAAAAAUAAUUAUUUGCUGUGGCAUUUUUAGAAGUAAAUUGAACAUCCUACUGGGAAUAAUGCAAUGUUUUUACUCUAUGCAUUUUGUCACCCUACUAUUUGGAUUUACUUUCAUUCCCACACAGUGUUCCUGGAAUCCCCAAGCAAAAUCUCUAAUGUGUUAGCAUGCUGACCUUUGCUUUGGUUGUAGGCGCAAAUGUUAAUAGAAACAGAAAAAGAGAAGUAAUCGCUUUUAUUUCUCACUCUCUUGUUCAACAAACUAGCAUUUAUAGAAAGAAGAUAUUGUUCAGUUACUAAGUCAACUUGAACACUGAUUUUCCUGAUGUCUGUCAUCUAGGCUACUAACUUUUUAAAGAUGCUUCAUUAGAGAUACUAGACAGGUACCAUUUUCUUUUUUCACAUUGACUAGUUCACAGUAAUGGCUGUGAAGCUAGAUUAAACCCAGCAUUUUAUAGGUAAAAAUCUGGUUUACAGUCAUUAGUUAUAUUACCUCCAGUUCCCUGGAAUUCUGUAGUACUCUCCAACUGCUUUUCAAGUGUAGGGUAAAAUGAAAGGGAAUUAAGAGCAAAUGAUACAUGUAAUUAAGGCCCCAUUGUGAUUACUAUUUUAAUUCUGUGAUGGGGGAAAAUAAUGUAGAUAGCCAAGUCUGAAAAUUAGGUUAUUAAGCUUUCUGUUUAGUUUAGAUUUUUCUCUUUAUUUUUAAUUUAGCUACAAAAAUGUUAUUGUUCUGUUUCUAUUAUUGCCAUUGUUUUUAACUUUCUUCCUUAAUUCAUUCUUAUCCUUCUAAUCUGCCCUAGAGGUGUACCAUUCAUGAUUUUUAUAUUCUGAAAACUACAAAUUGCUGUAAUUUCCUUCACAGUGCUACAUAUUACCCUAGUGAAGUAACCCAAGCUGAGUGCAUUGCUGUAAAGGGUUUUCUUUGAUUUUUUUCUGUGCUCUUUUUAGAGACUUGGCACUGAAGUGGGGAACCAUUCUAAAAAAAACAAAAAUAAAACCAACUAACCAAACAAAAAAAACCUACAUGGACUACAUGGACCUUGUUUUGAUACCAAGAAUGGCAUUAAUCUUUAUGCAGAUAUAAAUGGAAGUUAGCCAGCAUAUUUCAAUAUACUCUAUGGUUUUGAACUGACGUGGUGUUAGAAACUGAAAUAUAUGACCUAAAGGAUAUUUUUUCAAAACAAGCAGAAGGCCAACAUUUAUGCUAUUCCUGACUACUUGAGACCACCAAAACCCAUACAGUUAGUCAUGAAUUAGGUGUUCUCUACAGUCUCUGUAGUCUCUCAACAUGAGAGACAAAGAUGGUAAGGCUUCAGCCUUUUCUAGCAGGUCUUCCAUUGUAUUUUUUUAAUGAGUUUGUUUGAAAACAGGAUGAACAGAGUGGAUGAGUUCAGAAAGGGAUAAGAGUAGUGCAUGUCAAAAUGCCUGAGUUUUAUAUGUCAAAGAAUAAAAGAAAGGAAACUUAGGGACAAACCAAGAAAGAAGAUAUAAGAAUUUUAGGUCUAGUAAAGAAAGCAGUGGAGAGAGCUAAACAUAUUUGACCUGGGUGUUGCAGAAGCCCUGUCUCAUUUUGGAAGAGAGCUGAGAGUGAUACAAUACACAAGAAACCUACUGAAACAUUUAAAAUUAGCUAUGAUGAAGAUACUUCUGAAGGCAUCGGUACUAAUGUGCUUGAAUUUCAGAGACUAUUCUAUAGAGUCUGUCCUAGUUUCAGCUGGGAUGGAAUUGCUUUCUUCAGAGUACUUGGUAUGAUGCUACGUUUUGGUUUUAGGAGAAAAACAGUGUUGAUAACACACUGAUGUUUACUGUUUUUGCUAAGCGGCGCUUAGCUGAGCCGAGACCAUUCACAGCUAAAGGAGGCCCAAGGAGCUGUGAGGGAACAGAAUUAAGACAACUGACUUAAACUGGUCAAAUGGAUGUUCCAUGCCAUAUGGCAUCAUGCAGAAGGAGUUUUGAAAAGAGUUAGGGUUCUCUUUUCCACUGCUUGGGGGCCUGGUUGGUCAUUGGUUGGGGGGUGGGGAACAAUUCCUUGUGUAACAAUUGUUACAUACAUUCAUAUAUAUAUAUAUAUUUGUUGCAACUAUAAUCCUUUUCUUCUUCUCUAUUUUAGUAAAUAAAAGUUCUACCUUUUUUUUUUUUUUUUUUUUUUUUUUUUUUUUUUUUUUUUUUUUUUCCUGAUUCUCUCCCUUAUCCCACUGGGAAGCUGGGAGUGAGCAAACGACUGUGUGGUGCUCAUCCACCUGCUGAGUUAAACCACAGUAGAGUCGUUGGCUUUUAACUGUUUUAUGCUAUAGUAGUCUUAAUGAUAUGAUGCAUUCCCUGAGCAGGCAGAAUUUCAUUCAUCUGAGGAGAGCUCCUUGGGAUGUCUCUGAGGUAUUUCAAGGAAGUACUAAUGUUGAAAUGUUGGAUGUGUUCAUUCUGCAUUAUGAUGAAUUUAAUUUUAGUGAACACAGAGGCCUCUGCCCUGUUAAUUUAUAUAUAAAUACAGAAAUUAUAGAAGGGCCCAGAGGAACACAGUGCCACUAAUGCAGAAGUGUGUUAGAUAUUUAAAAUAUGUGCUUCAAUUCCUGCCAGCUGGCCUUUGCACACUAUGUGCACCAAAUAACCCAGUAGCUGUCCCUGUGGAACAUAAUUUCUAAUUUUAAGUUUUAUUGAUUAUUCUUUUGGAACCUGUUAUGUAAUUUCUCUAUAGACCCAGACUCCAUAAAAGAAGUCUAUGCAUUCAUUAAUACUCCAAAAAUAUGUAUCAGACACUUUCAUGUUAUACUAAGCCCAAAUGCAGUUUAUGUAAAAGCAUACAUUUAAAACCAAAACUGCGAAAACAUGUAUUCUACUGGAGUACCUACAUUAUUCCUUGAUUGGACAUAUCCUUUAAAUAAGACUUUCCCCCUUUCAUUUAAACUGAAUUCUCAGAGAAUCCAGAAUGAGAUAAAAUAUACUCAGUAAUAAAAAUAAUCAUUCAAGUGUUGAUGCAUGUCAGGAUUCUAUUAUGAUGAGUUAUUAAGGUAUCUUAAUAUGCAGGAUGAGAUUAGUGACUUCAUUCACAAUUGAAUUUUUAGUUGUUGAGGUCAAUAUUGUUAUAUAUGUUGGUUUGGCUUAUUUUCAAGCUUUCGAGUAUGAGAGGAAAUAAUUUUUUCCUAUUUAAAAAAUAAACCUUCCUUCCUUGAUAAUGGAAGGAAGCUUGUAGGCUGAAGAAAUUUCUAGAUGUACCACACAUUAUCUUUUUUUUUUCCAUAAAAAAAAAAAUAUAAUUUCUCACUGAAACAAUUUAAAGGUCUGAAGAUGUAACUUUCAGAUCAAAUAAAUGUCUCAUAGCAAUUUCCCAAUUUAAUAUGAAAUGGAAAAGUGACCUCCAAGGUUAAAGGAGUAUAUGUAUGGGGUGUUAUAUGGCUCUAAGAAACAGCCAAAAAUCCUCCCAGGAAACAGAUUCCAGAGAAUGCCACAGUCAUUAACUUAGGUAAGAGCUCAAUCCAGAUAGUUUAAGUAGUUUAAUGAGGCCAAAGGGGUUAGAUAACAGAAGUUAUUUUAGUAUUACCAAUCAUCUGUAACUAAAGGUUUCCUCAGAAAAGCUUUAUUGCGUAGGAAAAGGCCAACAGGUAGGUUAUAUCUCUCUGAAGAAAUCAUGGUGAUAGGAGGAGAAAGAUUCAUCAUGAAUUAUUAUGGUGGUUAAACCAAAUUCUCUCUUUUGACUGCAUACAAAUUAGACAUUUCCAUGGUUUCAAUGGUCCUUUAAGUCCUUAAUAAAUGUUAACAUAAUAAUGAGAUUACAAGUAUGAUUUUAAAAACUGAGUUUUUCCUUACACUGUUCCAAGUUUUUUGGAGAUGGAUUCAAAUAUUUUGUAUAUUGCCUGUACCCUAAAAUAUCACUUCGAGACUUCAUGCUGUCGUCCACAUUUUAAAAGCAAGGAGUUAUAAUGACAGAUCACUUCCAACUCCUACAGGUUUUGAUUUAAUUUAGACUAAUUUUAUUUGCAAGAACCUGUAAACUCCUAUCCAUUUGUGCAAAUCUGACCGUUUGGCUUAUUUGUGUGUCCAUAUUUUCCUCAGAUUCUGAGCAACAUGCUGCAAGAGUUAUAUUUUGGCAUACAGGAAUUUUAGAUUUGGGGAAAACAUACAACUUCUUAGCAUUGCAUUUACCACAUUCUUUUCUCUACUGCACUUUUGAAGUUAAAAAUAUAUGAAUGAAGUUUUGUAUUUUUUUUCCCUUCUCUCCCUCUUUUCCCUAUGGCAGAUGUGUUAAUCUACCUGUGGAAUCAGAAGUAAAUUUUACAGCAUUUUUCUGAAGGUUCCUCUUGAAGAAGUCUUGUACAGGAGACUAAAGCUUCCACAGGAAGGAUCAUGAAUUUGUUACGUGGUAAUGGAAAUUAUUAUACAUGCUGCAUGGUGAUAUAGAUGUGAAAUGGGUAUUGUGUUAUUUUCUGAAGUCUUAGUGUUUUCCUUCUGUUCCAGUUCUUAGUGAUCCAUUUUGCUCAUCUAGUAGAGCAGUACAGCAUUUAUUAUCUACAUACAAAAGAAGAUGUAGAUUUAGAACUUUAUUCUGUCAAGCAAUUACUACUUUUAUGUUAAAUAGAGCUGUGCAGAAAUAAUGAAUGCUUUUAAAGUGUUAUUAUGGAAGCCCAGUUUGAUAAUGGAAAAGCUGAUUCAGGAUAGUUCAGAUUUGGAAGUCAGUUUGGGUAUGUCUUAUGGUAUGCAUGCAACAGGAGCAUCAGAGUUCUUCCUCCUCACACUGUCCAAUUUAUUUUGUAUUUAUUUCAUGAAUGGAGUGACAAGCAAAGUGAGGAUGCCCCUUUUUCCCUUUUCCCAGUUUUAGCGCGAUACUGCAUUUUCUGCACAGUGUUAUCUAGCUUCAUCUCUCCACUUACUGAGAGAAACCAAAGCUUUUGGCUCUGUUCUUGCUGUUUCUUUGUAAAGAUGUAGUGCUUUUGGUGCAGCAUUUCUUCUUUGAACUGGCAUUUCCCUUCUCCUCCAGGGAAAUGCUGUUGGGCUGACCUAUUCAACUGAUGUACCCAAAUGCUGGCUGAGUGCAUCCCAUAUCAAGUGCUUGACAUUAUUUGGUGACUUGCUCAUUCCCUUUGUGCUACUGGGUCUACUGUGGGAUUCUCAUAUGGAUUUAUAAAGCCAUCAAUUUGUUAGGCCGUGCUAUCUCCCUGGUGAAUCUCUUUCCCAGAUAGCAUUGAUUAUCCAACACUUGGUGUUUUGAGGUUUCUCAAAAUAAAGUUAUAUUUCUUGAAACUUUUCUCAAAACAAGCUGGGUGGAGUUUCACUAUUCACAUAUUCACUACAGAAGAAAUUUCUUCCACACUUUUAACCAUGUAUUUUUUCUUUCUUUUUUUUUCUUCUAAUACUAAAGUCCCAAAGGUGAAGCUUGUGUUGGGUAGAAAAGUGACAUCCUGGUCAAAAUUGGGAAGUUUAACUUAAAGCUUUACCCGUGCAUACAUAAUAAGUUAGUCUUUUUUUUUUUUAAUAGCUUGCAAGCUAUGUUUCAGCAUUACAAAAUUGGCAUUUCAGAAUUGCAAAUGAAAGCAGUCCAGUUGAAAUAUCCAUUACAGAAUGUGGCAUAAUGUAUGGCUUCCAAAAUAAAGAAUAUGAUGUGGAAAAUAUCUUUAUAUAUUCAGGCAUCCUGCAUCACCAACAGGCAUCCAAAGUUGGUCCAGGUAAGAAUAGCAAUAAAAAAUUGGUGUUUAUAGGAUCUGUGUAAGCAGAAACAAGGAGUGAUGAGGGUUUGUUCAGGGAUCACUAGAAGUAUCAAGUGAUGUAUCAAGCAUCAAGAAGGUGAUAGGACAGCUAAGAAAACAGCUCAUAAAACCUUUUUUUUUUUUUUUUUUUUUUGUGUGUGUGUGAAAUUUAAGUACUCACUGUUUGUAUCAAGGAAGAAAUAGACUUCUGAGUGAUAAUCUUUGUAAUGCAGUAAAUUUGGAAUUAGACAUAGAGGAGAAAUGAUGUUGUAAAAUACUAGUGGGACAUUAUUCAGGAUGAAAUAUUAAAGUUUACAAAACCAGAGCCAAAACUGAGUUCUUUUAUGCAGAAAGAGAAAAGCUAAGUUUUAUGUUCCUGCAGUUUAGCCCUUAUUGGUAUUUAAUUAUAUGAAACUAUUACAGGAUUUUUUACCAGCUGCAGACUUCAUGUUUAUUUACUGUGAUAGAACUGUGAUAGUGUCUAAGAACCUCCAAGUAUGUAUUAGGAGAUGACAGUAUUGAACAGAAUGAUUGUAAUUUUAAUCAGCUACAAAAUCUUUGAGUGUAAUACACCUUCUCCACAAAUGAUUAAGUGGAGCCAUGGGUAAAUAUAAAUUGUUACCACAUGUAGUUACUACAAUUGACAGUUGCUAUAUACUGGAAAAUAUUCUUACCUAGAGAAAUAAUUUUAGGUUUUUUUAGAAUUCUUUUUACCAUGAAAAAUCUCAUUUUCUUGGUAUUAACAUUAUUGAAUAAUAUGCAUUUUCAUCAGUGAUUAACAAGAGCACUUCAUUUUAUGGUGUGACAAUUGUGCAUGGCCGUUCAGGACGUGGCUUGACUUUCACAUCACUAUCGCCACUGCUGAAAUACAUCACCCACUGACUCACUGUGCUCACAUCCCCUGUUUGGUGUCUAGAAACAUUCAGAAAGCAUCAGCAAAUGUCAGUGGGUGCCAUUUUUUCUACAUGGAGGAAUUUAAUCACGCAUCUUUCCCUUGCAUGCACUUUCAUGUCAGACUGCACCUCUGCUGCCAUCUAUCGCACAGCAACAUCACAUAGUGGAAUAUUUGCCGUGAAGUUCAACUUCUACUGCCUUACCAUCAACAUCCUUCUCUGACAUCAUGAGCCAACAUAAUAAAAUAGCAGGCAUAAGUUUUGCAGUAGCCCUUGUAUAUUGUGAGGAUCAUUAAAUUCCUUUUUCAUUAGAUACGACUUUGCUGUCUUUAACACUAGGAUAAACAUUUUCCAAAAUAGUGCCGCUUUCUUCUUCUAGUUCUUCCUUAAAUUUUUCAUUGUUUCAAAAUUCUUCAGCUAUGUCAGAGGAUACGUUUAUAGGAAGAAUGUAUUGUUCCAGGCAUUUCUGAGACAAAGAAAAUGCUCCUAGCCUUUAGUCUUAAAGGAGUUCUGAUAGCAGAUUCCUAGAUAGAUACAUUGCAGUAUCUAAAGGGCGGGGGCGGGGGUGUUAGAAAGAAGAGGAUAGAUUCUUCAGCAGGGUCUAUGAUGAUAGGACAAGGGGAAAUGGUUUCUAACUAAAAUAGGGGAGAUUUAGAUUGGAUAUAAGAUUUUUUGGGUUUUUUUACAGUAAGGUUGGUGAGGCAGUGCAACAGGUUGCCAAGAGAUAUGGUGAAUGCCCUAUCCCUGGAAACUCUCAAGAUGGGGCUGGAUGGGGCUCUGAGCAACCUGAUCUGGCUGUAGGUGUCUUUGCUUAUUGCAGGACAGUUAGACUAGGUGACUUUUAAAGAUCCCUUCCAACUCAAAUGAUUCUAUGGUUCUAUGAAAACCUUUCCUAUAUCUUUUUUCCCUCAGGGAUAUGAAUGUUGUGUACUUAUAUGUUCUAUGAGUGUUCCCUAACUCCAUUUUUUUUGUAAAGUCUUUUCGUUUUCAUUAGUUUUUAUCUGUAGGUGUAGUAAAAAUAUAUAGUACAAAAGCACAACUGAACAUGCAUAUACGCUGAAAAAAACCCAAAACAUAAACUGUGUUCCCAGCUGAUUAAUAUAGCAGAGUGAAAAGCAUAAAAUGGCACUGAUGCUUAUGAAUGGUGCUGGGAAAAUAAGCUGCAACUGAGCAAUAGCCAUUUCCCGCAAGAUAACAACCUCCUGUUUCCGUGAUGUGAUAAAGUCAGAGUACCUCAUGCUUAUUCUCUGUGUUUUUAUUUUCAUCACAUCAGUACCACCUCGUCUGAAAUUAAUUUAAUCACAGAAGAAAAAAAAAAAAAAGAAGACAAGUAAAUAAAAUGAUUUAAAACUUUUAUAUAAUUAAAGAGAGUGUUAGGAGUUCCAUGGUGAGGUACUUAUCAUAAUAGAUAACCAUCAUUACACCUGCUGUCAUUAUAACAUAUUUUAAGUGUAUAAUCAUAUUUCCUUUAAAAGUCAUGUACUAAUUUUUUUUUUUUUUUUACAAACAUAUAGUUGUCAUCUUUCUUAUAUGUAAGACUGAAUUUAUUUUAGUGAGUUCUUAUGUGAACUCUUGCUGAUCAUGUACGAUCAAUGCAAUUUUGGUUUUAUUUUCUAUGCCAGCAUAUUUUUCUUCCACACUUCAAAGAAAUCAUUCUGUGCCUCUGCAGCAGGAUUGGAGAUGAUGAGCCAGUACAGAUAUGGAAAAAUUGAAUUGAAUUUUCAAAGUAUACCUUGAAGAGAAGCACAAUUAUGUGAAGCAAUGCAUUAUUGCAGUUCUAUGAAUGUUCUCGAUGUUGUGUUGUGUGCUCCUCAGAGAGUUUUGAAACUGAUAAGAUCUAAUGAAGAAAUGAAAUUGAAGAACUGUGGACAGGUGGUAAUCACAGGCAUAGUAUUUUGGAAGGAUUACAGAGGUGACCUGUGACUGGAAAGUUAAAUUAGUAGACUGAAAUCCAGGAUAUAUGUAAGGUCUUCAAGAUAAUUAUUUUAAGGAACAAUAAACAUUUUAAAUAAAAGUAAGUUAUACAUUCUGCUUUCAGAGUGCAGAGUAACUAUAAGGACCUAUUGUAUCUUAGAAGCUGAAACCUAUAGCAUUAUGGAUUAUUUGUUUUCUCUGAGACAGAUUAAUUAACAUAUAAGAAAAGGUUAUCCAUUUGAGAGAUGCUCAUAUAUAAUGUUUUUCUUUCUGUAAUCUAAAUGGAGCUGAUUUGAAAAUGAUUAUCUUCAUAAACAGAAGCUCAGACGUACAGUGAAAGGGCAUUCUUGACAAGCAGCACCAGUGGUGUUGGCAAAAUCGGAAGAAACUGUGUUUGCUAAUGGACUAAUUCUGCAGAGGCAGCAAAGAGCAGAGAGAACUCACUUUUGUGAACUCAACAAAAUAAAGAAAGGCUUGCAUGGUUUAAAUAACGCUGCAGUGGGUUAAUUAAAAAUAGAUAUGCAAUAUCCAGCCAAUUCCUUGUAUCUAAUUCUCCUCCAAGUUCAAACUAAUGUUGAAAUAAUCAUUUUUUGUAUAAACAUGUUGAUUAAAUGCUGGAACCUAAUUUAUAAGAUAAAGGAGUUAGGAAAAGUUAGCAGUUAAUGAUGGCAAACACUUACUUCAGUGAUAAUCUCUGUUAACAGAGAAGAUACUGUGAAUUUUGAAGAAUUUGACAAGCAAAGUGGGGCUUCAGGUGCCUCCAUUUUUGGUAUCUCACUUCAAUCUCAGGUUUGGGAAUUAAAAAGAAAUAGAUGAAGUUUCAGAAAACUGUGGUGAUAUAAUCACAGGAAUACAAAGUCCAAGAAGGAAUUUCCUUUUUUUUUUUUUUUUUUUUUUUUUUUUGUUCGGUGUUAAAAUAUGUGAUAAACUCUAAUUUGUCCUUUAGAAUAUCUAUGCAAUGCUUCUGGAUUCUGAACCUGUGGAUCAAAGACACCCAUUCAGAUCUGUAUGCAGAAAUGACGUGUGUUCAAACCUUUUGAAGGGAAUUGGAUGGAGCAGGCUGCACCAAGCUAUCAUCUCCAUAGGAAAAAAUAUAUCUGAUAUGCCACAAUGAUUGAUAAAAUAUUAUGCUGAGAUGCAUAAGAAUCAAUGUCAUUGAUUCUUAAUGACAGCAAAGAUAUCCAGGAAAAAGAACUAGUAGGACAAAAUAUUAUGACAUGUACAUUAUUUAUACUUGUAUAAAAUACGGUCUUGACAGUAGGAGAACAGCUUAAUAAAGAAACAGCUUUUCUGUAACUUGUAAAGCAGACAGCCUUCUUGCCUAGCAAGAGUAUCUGGUAGCCAGCACCUCUACUACAACUUUCCUGUGUAAUUUUUCUUAGCUUCCAAGAACAAUAACUGUUGUUAUUCUGCAUCUUUUUGCAGGCUGUUACAAAGAGCAGAUAAAAGUAAAAAUAAAAAUGUGGUUUUAAUGUGGCAGACUGAACCUGUCUGAUUUAUGGCAGUUUGGAGUGUUCACUUCAUGUGCAAAAGGUGCAAGCUAAAUAUUAUCUGCCUUUUUGCAGAGCAUUUAAUUCAAUACUGGGAAAGCAGCAGUUGGCAGUCUGAUUCUCCUUACCAUAUGAUGACUAUUUCCCUCAAAUCAAAAUCAAGCUGCCAGUUCUAGAGACUCUUCUCAAAGCAAAUAGCGUCAAUAAAAGAAGUGUGGAGAAGUGAUAUGAAUAGCAGGUGUGCCAGAUCAGCCACAUCAUCAUCUGUGGGUAGGUGCUUUUUGGUUUUUGUCGCACUCUCCUUUGUUUGACCUCUGGUGUCAGAGGACUUGGUUGGCAUCUCUGCCUCUCUAAUCAUCUCUGACAUGUGGCUGGCACUGGCAAAUUUACUCAAAAGGAUGUUCCUGCUGUAUUCUGCAUUGGCCUUCACCUGUUGGAGGCAGAUAAGUGCUGUAUAUUUUGAAUCGGGUAUAAAAAUGUAAUGAAUACUUCGUAUACUGCUUUGCUUUGUAACUCUGGUUCACGAGUUCUGUCUUCUUCAGACCAAUACAAGUACUGCAGUAAGUCAGUAAGUCAGUGCUCUUUCAAAUAGCACUUCUUCCCUUCUCAAGAUAAACAAAACAUGUGAUUAGAUUUGGAAGGCAUCAACAUUUUAGUGUAUCCAGGAGUUUGUUUCUUUUUCUUUUUUUUUUUCUUUUUUUUUUCCCUACAGAAAUAUUCACAUUUGGACUUCAGGGGUGAAAUCCAGGACUCUUUGAAAUCAAUAUAUUUUCACAGAUAUUUUAACAGAGAUGAGAAUUUUCUGCUAAUCUUUCUUCUUUCAGCUACUUCUUCUCAGAAGAGUUACAUACAGACAGAUUUUUUGUACGUACUUUUUUUUUUUUUUUUUUUUGAGUUGGCUACAAGUUAGAAAAUCCCCUACAGCUAAAGUUCAGGCUGAGGAAACAAGUGAUUUUUAUGGAUUAUCUAGUGAGUUUAGUCAAGGAUGCCUGUGCUUGUGUCCUGUGGGAGAAGCUUGUAAUAAGCCUUGAUAAAUCAGUACUCAUAUGCAUGCAUCUUCCCUUUUGCCUGCUAAGACUAAACAGAGCUAUUUCUCAAUUCCCUUUCUGCUAGUGAAUCACAUCAAAGAUUUGAAAGGGUGAUGGGGUUUUCUUAUUCAAAUGAUGUAUUCAUUGACUUUCUUGAUUAGUGUCUUUACAUUUUAUCAAUGAGCACUUCUCUGAAUUUCAAUUACAUGUUUCCAUUGAAGAAACUGUGAGGGGGAAAAAAGUGGUUUCAGUAAUGAUGGUAGUCAGUUGAAAAAGUGCUGUGCAGGUUGACUGUCAAACAUAUUAAUACUUGCUUUAACAAAAUGUUUAAUUUUUAAAAUAUUUUGUUGUUAUGCUUUUAUUUCCAGAAGUGUGAACAUGCACUGGCAGAUCCUUAUUCUUUCUGUGCUCAGUUAUAAAUGUGGUAGGACAUUUAUGUUCAAAAAACUACCUACAGCCUAAUUGCAGAAGAAAGGAACACUGCAGGUCCUGCCUGAGAGGUUGAGCUGAACACAUUUUUUUUCUGGCUUACUGGUCUGGAAGAGAUUCAGAUAAGCUGAAAUCUUUUCAUGGCGCAAACUUUUGAAAGUAUAGAUCUUCCUUUCCAACUAACAUUAUGCAAGGACUGAAUCGUUGGCAUUCUGAGCAUUUGAGUUACUAGUUGCUAGUGCCACCUGCAACUUUGGCCAAAAGAUAAGAAGGUGUUUGCUUGUUUAUAUGAUAUCAGAAAAGGAUUUAAUGGGGAUAAGUUUAAUAUGCAGUAUUACACUUUUCAUUGUUUCUAAUUAAAUCACAAAUACAAUCUGCAUAUUUUGGUGAGAAUACAGUAUUUUCUAACAGAUUUUGGAUAAAAUGACCUAAAACAAUCACAGCAAUAUGAAGGCUAGUGGAGAAGUGGGUGGAGAAUCAACAUAAAAAAAUAAUUGUUUCAGUGACAUUUCUAAUGUCUGAUAUGGCAUUUCAUUUUCUCAUUUAGUGUGUAUAGAUCUUAGGAUUUUUAGUUAAAUGAAUCUAUAGUAGGUUGGCUGUUGAGCAUGGCUUGAUAUCUUUUCUAGAGGACAAAUACAGGGAAAAAAAUACCUGUGAAUGUUAUUCAGAGAUAUUUGAUCACAUUCUUAAGAAGCUGGCUGGAAUCUUAGAAAAACAUGUUUCCUCAAUGAUCUUCAUGAGUUAAGUUGCCCUGCAGAAGAACUUCUGCUAUUUCUGUUGGGGAUUGAGAGUGUCUUUAUUUCCUUGUCAGUUGGGAACUGUUUUACUGUAUAAUUAUAAUCAUAUGUUGGAGCACACAAAUAUAAAGCUUUGAAAUUAUUAUUGUGAGUUUUAGUCUAAGAAAUUUAUGUUCACAAUAAAGAUGACUUUUUUUUAUGUGCAUAAAACAACUUUGGGGCAAUUUUCUCCCUAGGAAUGCUUCAUAGUUUUGUUGCUCAAUAGCCUCCUGGGAUGUAAAAAAAAGGCUAAAAUUAAAUGCUGUUUCCCGUCAGACAGAAAAUGAGCAUUCUGCAUAACUGUUUCCAAGGUGAGUACUCUCUUCAUGGGGUAGGCAUCUGUGUUUCUGUGUCUUUUCUGGUGUAGUAUUAACAGCUCUAGAGGGUGAGACACACUAGCAAAGAUUAAAAACAAACAAACAACAACAAAAAAAACUUGCAGACAUUUAUUCAUUUCUUAGCUAGCAUGUCCACUGAGGUUUGGGAAGCCUGUAGGAAUCUCCAUGGAAGUCAACCAGCCUACCUUCAGGCUAUGAAUUUUGGUUGGUGAUGCUUACUCUUUGCAGUUUUAGUUUUCAUAGAAUCACCAAGGUUGGAAAAGAUCCCACAGGAUCACCCAGUCCAACCAUCCACCCAUCACCAAUAGUCCUCAUUAAACCAUGCCCCUCAACACAAUGAUCAAACAUUCCUUGAAAACCUCCACGGUUGGUGACUCCACCACCUCCCUAAGCAGUUUUUGAUGCUUCUUUUUAAUUCCUAUUUAUAAAAUAGAGGAAAACAACACUUCUGUUUUAGGACUGUUGUGAAAAUAAAUACAUUAAAGCUUGUAUAUUCAUAUACUAAUGUAGUUAUGCAUAUCUAAAUAAAGUAGGAAUGAGUCACCAACUUUGAAUUCUGUAUGACUGUUAUUUAGCCUUAUACAUUCAAGCUAACCAGUGAGAAGAAAGUCCAGACUGCUAAUUUGCCAUGAGGGAAUAGCAUAUCUCUGAAUCAAACAGAUUCUUUAGCUGGUGUAGGUACAGAUUUGGGGCUAGGAACAUUAAUAGCAAUUCAGUAAGGCACAUGGCAAUUGUAAUUAUUUUAUGCUAUAAAAAGAUACAAGUGACCCUGAAAAUCCUAUUAUGAACCACAAAAUUAAUGGCAAGGCUAAAAUAUUAUAGUUUUAUGUGAACCAUUUCAGUUAACUUCAGAUUUUAUAUAUAUAUAUAUAUUUAAGUCCAUGAUCAUCUUCAGAAUGUAGAAUGAAUUUUAUAUUUUUCCCUCAGUUUGAGGGAUUGUUUCCUGAAGUUUAGAUUAUUAUGAGCCAUGUUAUCAAUAAAAUCUCCCUUCCCUCCAUACACAGCUAAUUCUACUUCAGUAGAUCAGUCUGUAUGAAUGAGGCAACAGACUGUAUCAUUUUUGUUGUUUAGAUACUGAGAGGCAAAUAUACUUCAUCUCUAGAAUUGGAUCUCUCUUUCUUUCAUUAAUAGUAUUGUAACUAUAAAAUAGAUUUCAUGGGACAACUGGAGUUUGAAAGUAUAGAAAAAAGUAGAGUGGAAUAAGGAAAAGAAUUAAUUAAUAUGUGGUCGUAUUACUUAUUUCACUUAUUUAUUGCUACAGUAAUAAGGCAUUAGCACUUUUAAUAGAGUAGAUCGUUAUUUACCUUUCAUAAUUUUUGAGUUUGUGUAUGUGUGCAGGAGUUUGUCAGAGUGCUACACAGAGCUUAACUUUUAUAUUUGCAUUUCUUAACAGUGUCAGUUUAUGUUCUGCCACCAGGGAUUGCCUCAUCCCAUGUAAUCCAGAAUGUCUAUAGAUUGAUCUCUGUGCCUGAGGAACAUGAAGAAAUUCCCCCAUACUCUGUAAUUUCUUGAACAUUGAAUGCAUUGGGAUCGGACCACACAUAGUGAUUUUUAUCUUUGAAGUAUUUCUUUUUUUUUGUUUUAUUUUUUAAUUUUUUUUUGCAUUGAAAGACUCCAACCAUCUCUACUAUUGUGUAUAAUAUGAAAGUAAUUAAAAUUCUAUUUUAUCACUUAAUCACCAAAAUGGUUAACUUACAUUAUUGCUGUCUCCCAGUCUAUGCCAUUGUUCUUUUCCAGGAGAAGAAAAUUCUACAAAGCAGCAGAAAGGAAGUGCAAUUCAUUAUGCACGGAGCUUUUUUUAUCUUAAUCAGUUCUGGUAAUUUACGUAAGAGGUUUUGUCAUUAACUGCGUUUUCUUUGAAGAAAUCCCUCCCAUAGCCUAAUCUAGUUUGCCACUUAUUUAAAUGCCUGUGAUGGUAAAACAGAACUACUUUCUUCAGAGUGUUUGAAAAUUAUUAGAAACUCUAGUCUGAAUGUGUGUAUAUAUAUACUUUCGUCAGACAAAAUAUUAUUGUAAGUGAAUGCUAUGUUGUCAUCUUCUAAUUAGACUGGUCUAUUAGUCAAAUUUAAGUUUCAAGUGGACUGGAGGAUGGAGAAGUGUAUGUAAUGGGAGGCACAUAAUAACCUUGUUAACCACUAAAAUGUCUUUCAGGUUUGAACACUGCAAGGAGACUGACUACAUGCAUGAGAGCUGCUCUGAUAGUAAUGCCUCCUAUUUUAUUAUGUUAGCUCAUAAUAUCAGAAGUGGUUGGUGGUAUGGCAGUAGAAGUUGAACCUUCCUACCAAUAUUUUGUUAGAUUCUGUUGCAAUGUGACAGAUGACAGCAGAGGGAGAGUGAGACAAAUUGGCUUUUGACAUGGAAGUGUGUAUGAAGCAAAAAUAUGUCAUUGAAUUCCUCCAUAGGGAGAAAAUGUCACCCAGUGAUGUUCACUGAAGUUUGCUGAAUGUUUAUGGAGGCCAUUGAAUGUCAGCACACCAAGGUAGUGGGUGGUGCGUUUGAAUAGUGGUGACAGUGGAUCAGCUCCACUGGUGCAGAUUAUUAUGAGCGCAGCAUGCAUGCUCUUGUUCAUCAUUAUUGAAAAUGUAAAGCUAAUGGUAGCGAUUAUGUUGAAAAAUAGUGUUUUGUAGCUGAGAAUUUGCUCUAUCAAAUACUGUUAUCUUUGUUGUAAUUUCCAUGGAAAGAAAUGUAAAUCUGAGAAGAGAGAAGAAAAUCAGCAGGGAAUGUCAAUGUAACCGAAAUCCAGGAGCAUAUCCAGCUGAAGGGAGUUCACAGAUUAAGAUCAAAGAAGAACUGAGUGUUAGAAUAAAAGAUUUCAUUUGAGACUUUUCAAGUAUAAUUUGGAGCAGACCAUCUUGAAUGUCAUCACACAGCACAUACAGGACAACCAAGCUAUCAAAUGAAGCCAGCAUGGGUUUGUGAAAAGCAGAUCCUACCUGACUAUCCUGGCCACCUAUGAUCAGAUAACUUGAUCAGUAGAUGAGAGAAAGGCUAGGGUUAUUGUAUACCUUGAUCUUGGUGAGUGUUUGAUGCUGUUUCUGACAGUAUUUUCCUGGAGGAUCUGCCUGUUUUUGGCUUGCGCAGGUGUAUAUUUUUCUGGGUGUUGAACUGCCUGGAUGGCCAGGCUCAGAGAGUCAUAGUGAAUGAAGUUCAGUCCAAUUGGCAAUGAGUCACCAGCAACUUUUCCCAGGGCAUGGUACUGGGAACAGCUUUAUUUAACAUUUUCAUUAAUGAUUUGGAUGGGGGGUGCAGUGGAAUUGCCAAGUUAUGGCCUGAACCAAUGGUUGAGCACCAGGUGAGAAAGGCAAGACUAACCCAGGGAGCUCAUGUGCAAGCAAUGCACAUGAGUGACUAGAAGGAAAUCAGUCUGGAUCCACCGCUCCUUACUCUCAUUUAAGGGCUAGCAGCUGAGGGAGCACCGUUUCUCUGGAUAGAGGUUGCACUCCUCUUGAGCUGUCGCUGAUUGUUGGAAGGCGUGAGCCAAUUUUCCUUCUUUGCUACCUGCUAUUGUUCUGUAGUGCCUGUAUCCCAUUCAAGCACACUGUUAUUGCCUUCUUUCCCCAUACAGGGGAAUUUAAUGAACCCUCAGAAGGUUCCCUGACAAUACCAAAUUAGGUGGAACCUGCAUGAGAGUUGGCAGGCUAUGCAGAGACAUCUGAAUUAGUAGAUUCAGUGGGCCAAUGAAUUCAAUCAUAUGGUAUUUAAGGAAGGUGAGUUGCUCAGUCCUGCACUUCAGUCAGAAAAACCCUGUGCAGUGAUAUAGGCUGAGGAAAGAGGACUUGGGGAUGCUAGUCAAUAGCUGAACACAAGCCAGCAGCGAGCCCAGGUGGCCAAAGUGACUGAUGAUAUCCUGGCCUACAUUAGAAAUACUGUGGACAGCAGGAUGAGGGAAAUGGUAAUCCCAUUGUACAGCGCUGGUGAGACUACACUUUGAAUACAUUGUUCAGUUUUGGGCCCCUUACUUCAAGAAAGCUGUUGAGUUGUUCAAACAUAUACAGAUAAGUGAAAUGAAGCUGGUAAAGGGAUUAUAAAACAAGAAUCAUGAGGAGCAGCUGAGGGAACUGGGGUUGUUUAGUCUGGGGAAAAUAAAGCUGAGAGUGGAUCUCAUCUCUCUCUACAACUUCCAGAAAGGAGGUGAUGGGUGACAGGAUGUGAAAUAACAAACUUUUAGAAUUUCUUCCCAGAGAGAGUGUUCAAGAACUGGAACAGACUGCCCUGGGAAGUGGUGAAGUCCUCAUCCCUGGAGAUAUUUAAGAGAUGUGUGGAUAUGGUAAUAAAGAACAUGGUUAGAUGAUGGUUAGAUGACUUUGUCGGGUCAGGUUGAUGGAUAUACUUGAUGAUCUUUAAGGUCUUUUCCGACCUAGAUGAUUCUGUCAUACGUGUAUGGGUUCUCAGUACCCUGCAAUUAAUAUAUAUCUUUAGGAGUUGUUUCACCUAGAAUCUUUCUUUCAUCCUCAUCACUGAUUUAAAAAUACAGUGCAAAAAAUAUUUCUCCUUCCUGCUUUUGUCUCUCUCUUAUAUGUAUGUAUUUAUACGCUUGUUGUUGUUUCCUGGUUUUGCUCUGUUGGAGAAUAAGUAAAGUUUAGGGAAUGGAUCUGAUCCAAUGGUUUAAACUUUGCUCCAGUAAAGUCUUUAUUACAUGGUCUAAUUCUAAUUUUUUUUUCCCUUUGCUUUUUACUCUUAGGCACACAUUUGAAUUCUGAACUGGUCUAGGAUCUAGACUUCUUUCUUAACAGCGCAGGUUCAUGUUGAAUUAGAGAUCUCAUAUAUAUCUUAGGUUUUUUUACCUGACAGUUUCAAGUUUUAAGGAUUUUUCUUGCUAUAGAAGGCCCUGGUCAUGAGGCAGUUAUGCUUUUAAAAAGCUGACAUGUACAAGAUCAGACAUAGGACUUCACUGGCCAAAGAAAGCACAUAUUAUCCUAUAAUAAGUUGACUCUAAAUGUUCCACUUUUCCUCCUGAGAUUCUAUUGCCCAGACUCCCUUAUUUCCCCUUUAUCUUCUAAUCUGCUUCAUUGAGUUACACAUCUGUGUAUGUUUACUCCUGUGCAUGUAGUGGUGCAAACCAAUCAAGUGACCACUGAGACAGUAAUACUGCCUCUCAGGUGGUACAUAUAAGUCCACAGAUGUUCUGGGGUACUAACUGCUUCUUCAUAAUUCCACGCAGAAGAAUGGCUUUACAAAAGAGCACAAACAGGUUGAAUUAAUAUUGCCUACUGCUGAUCUGAGUGCCUUCAGUACCCCUUCUCCCAGUAUGAGAUUUAAGUUCCGUCAUUGGAACGGCACUCAUUCAAAAAUUAGACCAUAUAUAGCACAAUGAAACAUUCCUACAACUUGGAACCUUUUCUGAAGCAAAAAUUAUACAAGUAAACUAAAGGCUCAAGGCAAAAAUUAUGACUGAAUGUGAUCUUUUGAGUAAAUAAUGGAUUCUGGUAAUGCAUUAGUUUUCAUUCAGAAAAGCUGCUAAUAUAAUCCUAGUUCCCCAAACAGCAGGCUAAUUGUUGUUCAGUGUUCUUUCUGAUUCCACUUAAAAAUUUCACGGUGGACCUAAUAACAGUAAAAGUUAAGGGGUUUAAUAGGUUGGGUGGUUUUUUUUGUUUGGUUGGUUGGUUGUUUUUUUUUUAAAAGGAAAUCGUCCUUUUGAAAUUAUCUGGAACUAGACUUGAACAAACACUUAAAAUUUUAACAAAGUUAUUCCUUCCAUCUUCCCAUUUUCCUUCUAUUAUGGAAACAUUUUUUUUUAAUGGAAAAAAUUGUGUGUCUCUGUGCAAUUUGGACUACAACAAUGCUGUUCUUAUUGAUGUGCUUUGAGCUCAAUUCACAAUCAAGUGGUGAGAGGGACAGUCUCAAUUGCCACUGAUUUAUAUGUAAAUUGUGAUAAACCAGUACUUUCAAAUAUAAGGCACAAAGGUUCCAUUUUAUAUCUCUCUUUCUCUCUCUCUCUCUUUUUUUUUUUUAGGUAAGAUUCCAGGAGUAAUUUAAAUGUAGUGAACUUAGUAAAUUCUAAAAUGAUCUCCACAUGAUGAAAUAAUUACUGAUUUUAUGCAAAGAGUAAAAAUGAUACUUAAGAAUACUUAUUAUUUUAAGAGUAUACUGCUGUCUUCAGGACAAAAAGUAAUUGUUUUCAUCAUUGCCUCUGUGGAUUAUAUUGUCCUUAUAAGCAGGUAUUAAAUCAUGCAAAGAGGGGAAGGCUUUUGUUCCUUCGAGAAAACAGAAAACUCUUCAAUAAAUAGCAAAGUGAUUCCUCAGCUGAAUUCAAAAUAUUGAGCUUAUGUAAAAAAAAAUUAUCACAUGAAAAAAAAUCUUUAAUGCUGCAUAAAAGAUUUUGUUCCAUUCUGCAUUGUACUGAAUCAUCAAUAGAGAAAUGGUUCCUUUGUUUUCAGUAGAUGGGGAAUGUUGUGGAUAACUUAUGUGAAAAAUGUAAUACUCCUAUGUCAGUACAACAAAAGAAAAGAAAGGAGUAAAUGUUAUGAGGACUGCUUCAGAAGGGAAUUCUGCUCCAAAGAGGUGAUCUAGAAAGAAAGGAAACAAACUCCUUAGUAGUCAGUCCGUUUAGACAGUGAUGCUCAUUUGUGUGAAGCUUUUUUGUUAUCAUCACAUAUUUCAUACUCAUAUAUUAGGUAAGUCUCUCUGGGAAUUCAAUGUACACAGAACAAAAGAGGAUAUACUUGAUUCAAAGAUAGCUGAAUUUCUCAGGAAGUUCUAAACCUCAGUGGGAUGGCUGCUUGGGAAGUCCUUUUACUGCAGUGCCUUGUGGCCACCAAACCAAGCAGUGAUUGAGCAGCCUUGAAUCCUUGUAAUUAGAAGAAGGAAGCUUAGUGAGAACCAGCUUAGAUGACUUUGUUCAUUUUCCUUAGCUUGUAUAGAACUGCAAGUGUUAAUAUAAUCUAAUAAUAAGAUUGUUUUGGAAAAAAAAAAUCUUGGUUUUAUAUUAAACCACUAAACAAAGGAGUGAAAGAAAAAAUAUAUUGCAAUGUUAUGAACAUCAAAUACUAUCUGAACAAGGAAAUAUUAACAGUUUAUGUGAUAAACUUUAGACAAUACUCUUGCAUCAAUAGCAUCACUGAACUGCUUGUGGGUGGCUGGGGAUAGUUUUUCCAAUAUCCAAUACUAAAAAACCCAUUAUAUUAAAAAAAAAAAAAAAAAAAAGUGAAAAGUGAAUAAGAGCAUAUUGGGUCAUUGGCUUAUUAAUUUUACAACUAGAUGAAACAGUAGAUUUGUUUUACUUUACACAAGCUGUGUUUUUUUUCCUUCCAUGAGCUGAGUGAAUGAGUUUGAUUGGUUCUGUAAGGCUCCGGUUUGAAUUUGGGGGGAUUUUAUGCUUUUCUAAUCUUUAAAUGUAGAGUACUAUAGAAUAUGAUUACCUACCAAUUUCUUAACCAAUAUGUAUUUACUGCUGUCUCUGAGUUUAUAUUAUACUACAAUUUUGGAAGUCUUUUUAUACAUGAUUGUAACUGUUCAUGUCAGAUCUGUCUACAUUCGUAUAUUCAGUGCAUGUACUUGAAGAAUAGCUUAUAGAAAGUAAUUGCAGCCAGUGUUUAUAGGACAUCACAGUUGUGUGAACAGUGCUUAAAAACCUGAAAAAAAUCAGAAAAAAAGAUAGUAUAGAUUAAAAUAUUUUUAGAUUUCAUUUCAAAUAGGAUUAAACAAAAAUUUCAAGUAUUAUCUUUACAACUGUGAAGUUCACCCUAUUCUCAGUGAUGGCAUACUAAAUUUGUCAUGUAACUGUGCCUUAGCUAGCCUGUAGGAUUUAUUUUAGUUAUACAGACUGUCUUGGAAAUACGCAUAGAGGAUGAAGCAGUGACCUAUGGAUUUUAGAAUACUCAGAAAAAUUUUGCAUACUAAUCUUAUUUUUUUUAUAACAAUCUGAAUCUAAUUUACUUGCUGCAAGUGGGGAUGAGUCACAUUAAUUUGUCUUUUUUAACUAGAAAUACCCUACAGCUUGAUCAACACCACUAUCCCGAUUUAUACCAUCAACAUCAUGGAUUGGGUCAGUAUAAGGAAAGGAAAAAAUGAAAGAAAUCAGAAGCAAUUUUAAAACAUCAGAAGAGAAAAAAAAAGUCUUUGAAUAGAUCUGUAAAGACAGCUCAUUAUGUUUAUGAAAAAUCCACAGUUGAUAGUGAUGUACUGAUGAAUAUGACUAUAUAUAUGAAUAUCCACCUCAUCCCUCCUCUUCUGAGUUGUCAUCAAGAAAUAAGAUAUUCUCUCUUACUCUUCUGCCAAAAAACAUCUGGAAUCCUUAGGAAAACAUUGAGGUAUUGAAUCAAAAAGACUCUAUCAGCAUAUUUACUUUAAGCACUCAAAGUCAGUCAUUGACUCAGUUGUAGACUUAAGAUUAUGCAGUUGCUUCAUGUUUUACUAAAAGGUUUAAACAUUAUACUGAAACAGAGGUAAUUACACUGCUUAUAUGCAGUUCUAAUCUACCUUGAGUGUGGGAAAAAAAAUUACUUGUGCAUUUAAAAAUAGUAUUAUAAGAAUUAUUUGUAGGAUUUUUAUGCCUAGGUGCUAGGUGCUCCUAGUGCAGAUUUCACAACUUUUUGGAAACUGUAAGAUUACUAUUUCUUUCUGAGUUGUUUGUCACUCUUAAUAACUACGAGGUAAACAGAAGAAAACACUUCUAUGAAAGCUGCUCUAAUAACUGCUGUAAUGACUACUAACAGAAAUGGCUUCAUUAUUCAUGAGUUGUGCACAGAAUUAGUUUGAGACAUUGAAUGGAUGUGAGGAUCUAUUCAUUUUCUGUUACAAACUCCAUUCUCAGCUACCUGAAAAAAUUAAGGUCAAGAAAAUGGUUCAUCAUGUUUACUCAUUCAAGACAUCACCAAAAUCCAGUUGAUACUAGAACUGGGGACAAACUUACUUUACUAAUUUGUCUUUGUGGGUAAUAUGCAACCAAUCCUUUCCAUAUAAACUACUCCAGAGCCACUAUUAGUAUUUUUACUAGUGUACGGAUAGGAGGAGGUUAGAGAAGCAUAUAUCAUAUGUCUAGGUUAUAUAUAAAGGGACUGGAUAUUGAUUACCUCCAUAUUUUACCUGCUGAUAUAGUCAUCUUUGUGUAAUUUUUGAUAAUUUUACAAGGACACCUUAUUGUUUGUGAGAAGCAAGUUGGAGAGCCUUUCUGUAGUGAUCUGCAUCAGCAUUUAGAAUGCCAUAAUGAGGUUAUAUGUUACACUAUGCUUAUGUGCUUUGCUAUUAAUUUGAAAUAUUCUCCCUGAACAUGAAAUUAAUAGAAGUAAGGAAAAACUAUUGGACCACAAUCUGGAUUAAGCACUUCUUUGUAUCAUAGAACUUCAGAUGCAUGAUUAUUAUGCCAGUAAUCAGAGUAGCAUUGAAUUUAAAAUUGCUGCUUUGUUGCUCUGCAUAUUUUGAUCCAGUAAUUAGGACUGAGAACUGUUACUUCGUUUUACUUUCAGCAUUAGUAACAUUACAGGAUUUCAGAGUAUGCAAAAGAGAAAGGGCAUGAAAAUCAAAGCAAAACUUUCAUUAGAUGAUGAUGCAGUUUUGGAAAUUUAAGGAACUUCAAUUAAGUUUCACACCUUACAGUAUAAUGUAUACCCUAAAUUCUGUAAAACUUAAGCUUAGGUGAAUUAUUUGGAUUUUUGCUGUGACCUUCACUUAAAUGGCUAGUAUUUCUUUCUCUAUCUUUCAGUGCAAUAAUUUUAGACCAUACAAGUGCCAGGUUAACUUUUUUUUACAGGGUAGUAGCUGUGUCUGCAUCAGCAAGUCAUACAUGGAAGAAAUAGAUCAGGAGAUCAAAAUAGCUGGUGGUUGAGACUACUGCCACUAUUAUGUGUACUGCUCUGGGGGCUUAUUUUGAAUUGAUUUAGUCUAGUUUCCUGAUUCAGAUGUCCUCGUCACAUGUGCAGCUCAAAGUCCUUUGAAGAACUAACCUUUUGUUUGGACCCUUAUGAACCCACUACUUGCUAGAUUGCAUUUGAUGUGUGCCUGAUAUAGAGUUUAGUUUCCUCCAAAGAAAAUCUAGCUAGCAUCAGCCUCUCCUCAUUGGGCAAGUGCCCAACUCCCCACCAUAAUGAAUGCCCAUUCCUUAUCAGUGCUGUAUCUUUAUCUCUAUUUUGACAGCAGUUUUCUGACUUUGAGUUCUAUCAUAAUCUUAACAAGCUUCCCAUUAAUUUCUGAAUAGAACAGCAUAUGAAGAUACAGUACUGGAAGUCUGGUGAAAGGAUUAUGGUGUUAGGAAUUAACAGGAAGAAUGAAAACUACUGCACCCACCCAAUACAGAAAAGUACAUACUUCAUUAUCUUAGUAGCUACAUUAUCUGCAAUAUCAAACAUCUUGUUUCGUGUCAAAGGUCAUACCUUGGUGAUGUCUUAUUAGUACAGCCGUCUUUAGCUGGUGUGAGAUAUGUGUUUAUUCACAGUUUGAACAUCACCCCUUCAUUCUCUCCUAUCAUUAGUAACUUAGAGUUUUCAUGUACCCGAUCAACUCUUGACACAAGAUAGGUCUCUAGAAGGAAGAGUGAGUUUUGAACUUUCUGUAAUUAAAUGUACAUUUUUUUAACAUCAGUAAUUGGAAAUCACAAUAGAUUCCAAUCCCCAUGCUAAUAAUUCAUUAUAAAUCUGACAUAUAUGGCGAACAUUUAUAUACCAUAAUUUUAGAGGUAUCUCAACUAGAAAGUUCCUAGCAAUAAUAAAAUAGUAAUAAAAAGACAAAGGCAGACGCAAAAUAGCAUUUUAAAGGUAACAUAGUUGAAUCUGUUAUUGUCCAAAAUUAUUUUCUGCAUUAAACACUAGAUACUAUGAGAAGAACUUAAAGUAAAAGGUACGUACUGUAAUUCUUCUCAUAUUAUGGAUUAGACUGAAAAAAUACACAUAGGUAGUAAGGAAGUUGUGUUCUCCCAUAGCACUGUGAUUAAUGUGUACUUAAAUUUCUUCAAAAGAAUCUCAUAAUAUGUCCAUGAGAUGUUCGUGAUUUUAUUACAUCAAAAUUUAAAAGCAAAUUUCAGGCUUACAAGCUCUGGCUUUUUUGCUGUGAUUGGCUUCUGACAUGAGCACAGGUAGUCCCUGUCUUGUAGUCUUGCAUUCUCGAUUUACAUAGUGGACUUUAAAUUGUUUUACUUCAGGGGAUGUUAUAAUCUCCUUUGAUGUCCAUAAAGUCAGUAGACCUAAUCUGCUUGAAAGAUACUGAAUUUCUUAGAAGCUCAUAUCCGCCUACUAUUUUACAUAGGGAUUAUCAUUACUAGGCUCAUAAAAUGUGUUUUUAACAAUAACAAAAUUUGAUAAGCAGCUUGGCUUCAUAAUGAGAAUUUAGCAAGACAGAAAUGCUACUCAGCAGCAAUAGUUUUUCCCUUGCAGAAACUAUGUCAUGUGAAAAGAAAAGGAAGGAGGAUCUGAUUUCUAGACAGUUCGUAACUGAUUGUGUCAAAAUCUACAUAAACGCAGGACACACAGUUCUCAUGGUAUGUAUAAGAGUUGUUUAAGGAGUUAAUUAUGGAUAGGAAUGAAUUAUCUGUGCAUAUGCUGCUGGUAACAAAUAAUCAACUUUAAAUUCUCAUUUUUAGACCUAAUGGUUGAUAUUCAAUUACUAAUGGUUAUCCAUCUAAAAAGCUAUCUUACAAUACUCAGCUUGAAUUAAAUAUCACUACAUUAAAUUGAAUUAUGAGAAAGAGUAGCUCAUCUAUAUAUGUAGAACAUCUUGAAAUUGAAAUUUGUUAUUCAAAUCGUGAUUCUGUAAUAUGGAAGUGCACAUUUUUAAUAUGAAUAUAGAGAAUUCAGUGCUUGCCUAUUUGAGUUGCAUGUAUGAGCUCAUUAAAAAAGGUAUGCUAAAAAUGAGUAUCUAUAAUAUAUAAUCUAGAAGAUACAAAACCAAAUACAUAGUUACUGAUACCAGUCUGUGUUAAUGUCUGUGGGUUGCUUCAAAAGUACUGCCUUCUAUUUAUUUCCAUGGCAAUUAAAACAGAUACGGAGGACACAAUAACACUGUUUGAUAGAGCAAAUUCUCAGCUACAAAGCACUAUUUUUCCUCAUAUAGUCACCACCAUUAACUCCAUGUGUUGCCAGUGAUGAACAAGUUCCUGCAUGCCAUGCUCGUAAAAUUCUGCAUGGCCAUCAGGGGUGUGGCUUGUCUUUCAUGUUGCUAUCAUCACACUGCUGAAACACACAACCCAUGGCCUCUCUGUGCUCACAACCACUGUUUGGUCCACAUAAAUGUUCACUGAGCAUUGAUGAAAGUCAGCAGGUGUCAUUUUUUAUGCUUAGAGGAAUUCAGUUAUAUGCCUGUGCUCAAUAAUUCACUUCCACAUCAGACACUGUUUUGACAGACUGCCCCUCUGCUGCCAUCUGUUGCAUGGCAACAAAAUGUAAUGGAAUAUUGGUAGGAAGUUUCAGCCUCUACUGACAUACCACUAGCAUCUGCCUCUGAUGUUGUGGGCCAACAUAACAAAAUUGGAGGCAUCAUUUUCAGAGCAGCCCUUGUAGACAGCACCAUAAAUGCCAGUAGAUGAAACCGUAAACAGGGUGUACAGCUUUAAGUUUUCUUUUUUGAAUUAUUCUUUACCAUUUUACAUCACUUUUAAAGACUGCAUUUUGAAAAAUGGUCAGCAUCUCUAAUUCUGUAUGCAUAAGCAGUUGGGCAUGCUAGGGGAAAAACCUAUUUCUAGGAUUUAUGUGUGUAUACUAUCUGAGUGUGCUUAGCAUGACCGACAGUUAUCACGUACCAGAAUGACAGUGUAUUUUGCAUUCUUAUAGGAGAUUUGUGCAAGUAGGUGGAGACAAUGGGAGGUCUAUAUGAAGUUCUAACUGGCUUAAGUUGGUGAUGUUGAAUGUGACUGUUAACGCUAUAUAUUUCUGAAAGUUUUAGAGUCUUUAUUUGUAAUGACAUAUUAAGGAUUCAUUUACUGUUUUCCAACUUACAGAUUUAUUCUGAAGACAUUUUUUAAAGGGCACUCAAUCUUAACUUUCAUUGCGUGGAAACAGAUUUAUGCCCCAUGAAACACAUGGCUACUUAAUUUUGGCUUCUACAUUCUUGUUUAUUUGUAUAUCUUUCUGAAUAUAUUCCUCUUUGUUAUUAGCUUACUCCUGCCUCUUUGCAGACAUGCGUAAUCAGCCACAAGUUUCAAAGGUUGCAGUUGGUAGGAAGGGCAUGGGGAUAACAGCCUGAAGCAAGAAUAGACGAGAAAGUGUGGAUAAAAUCAACUCUGUGUUCUGAUAAGAGAGAAAUAACCUACCAUUUGUACUAUUUACUUGGAGGAAUUUAGAAACUAGCAGGGAGGAAGAUUAGACAGCUUAGGAAGAAUUAGAACCUUGAAAAAAGAUGUAAGAGGAUGGAUGAUAUACCUCAGGAAGAAUAUGUCUUAGCAUAUAGUCUAGGGAGACAAACUUACAUGGCACUUCAUAUAGAUAUGACUGCUGCAAGCUCAGCUUCAAUACUGUAUUAAAUUGAAUAUGUUGCAUCCCAGCUGGAACUAGCUAUGAUAUGUCCUAAGGCACCAUUUUUAUCAGCAGCCUUUUUGGGUUAGCAAACAACAAAUGAACAGUUUCUGUGCUUUGAGCCAGUAAUAAUGAGAACUUGAUAAAUUCAAAUUCUUAAACUGUGAUCAUUAAACUAUUUUGUUAAAAUUUGUUUUUGUUGAUCUCACUGAUGGAGACACCUCUUUGCCUAGUCCCAUCAUGUUGAUUUGAGAAAGACCAUGGAUUCUGACAAGACUUAAGGAUACAGAGAAACAGAAAUUUUAGACAAGCAUAGUGUUUCAUUGUUUAUUAACCAAGUAGUUUUGUUUCUGUGGGAUCAUUUCAUCUAGAAUCACUCUGAUAAAGACACAAAACUACUGUGUUGGUUGUCCUUAACAGAAUGUAAAAAUUUUUGAGUGCUCAUUUCAGACUGACAGACUGGCAGUAAAGUUGCCAACUAAUAUAUCUGGCUGAUCUUUUGUAUGAAAUGCAACAAGUAGCUUGAAGUCCUCCUCCUUUGGGGCCAGCAAAUUGAGAAUGCCAAUAUUCUGUAUCACUUGAGGGUGUUUUGAGGUCAGUUAGUGUUUUUGAUCUAGCAGUUACAAUAAAAAAUCUAGAUACAAAAAAGCCUACUUACAGUAAAUCUGUUGUUGUGGUUAUACUUUUCAGUUAUUUUAGUCCAAGAAUCUGGAGAAUUUCCUUGUAUUUGGAAACAGCGUGAUGCUGUUUGACAGCAGUCCACAUGCCAUGUCUUACUUCUAAUGGCAAGAGCUUGGCUGUCCAUUGAUGUGAAAGGGCUUUUUGGUAAAAUGUGAGUUUUGCUUUUUCCACUGAAAUGGUUGAAAAGUGAUUUGAGUAUAAAAUGGACACAGUGACAAUAGGAAAACCUGAGAGAGAGAAAGAAUGGAUUUCUUCCUAAUUAGUCUGAACAUAAUAAUGUGUAGCAUGUUAGCAGAACAUGUCUGAUUUUUAACAGAGGAAAAAUGAGAGUGCUCAGCACAAGAGAAAAGCUUUGCAUUAAAUAAACCUUUUAUUUUCCAGUGUCAGUUAAGUUCUGCUGAACAAAACCUUGGACCAUUGCUCUAGAAAGCAGCAGGUGAAUGCCACAAGGCAUCAUACUGAGGCCAGGGUGAGGGCAGCCACAGGGCUGGGACAUGGCCAAUGAGGAGAGCUAGGCAAGGCCUGACCAAGGUCCUGGGGGUCUAUGCUCAUACUGAGCCAUCUGCUGGGCAGUGCGGCAUGCCACUGUGCCACGUUCAGUCAAAUGUUGCAGAGCACUGCAAAAGAGACGUGGAGGACAGCUUGCUGAUUUUGUGGGCUUCCUCAGGCAAGCAAAGGCUGAUCAGGCAGAAGCCAGUUGGGUAGCUAUCCCCACAGGCAUCAGGAACCCAGCGUGAGGAGCCCAGAUGUGGUGUGCACUCAUACAUACCAACAUGAUAAAGGAUGUAUUUCCUCACAUGCACUUACUGGCUUUUUGGGUGGGUAGGAACUAGGAGGUUUUCCAGUCCCUCCCUGAUGUUUUCUUAGGGAAUCACCAUGAAAUGUGUUCCAUGUGAUGGCCGCCCAUAUUGCUCUUAGCAAAUACAUCUUUAUCUUGGCUUCAUAUCAAAAUGGGCUAUUGAUUUCAGAUUAACAAAAUCAAGAAAAAUAUAAGUGUGAGAUACUUUUAUUCUUCAAUAAAGUUCUGAGGACAAUAAUUGGAUUUGCCUUCCAGACAGGCACAUAGUAUUGAUUAUGAAUCUGAAACUAUAAUUCAAACAAGGCCAAAACUAAUAGAAAGUAUACACAUGUUCAGUAACAAAUAAAUUAAAAAAUAAAAAAUAUUCAUAUGUUAAAUGCAAGAAUUUUACAACUGUUACACUGAUAUGUUAUUGUAUUACACUUGCCUAAGUGGCUUAGCUGUUUUGUGUAUAACCUAAUAUAUGAUUUCACUGUUAGAGAAUUAUGGAGUAAACUAAAGAAAGGUAAAACACUUUUUAUCACUAACAUAACAUAAAACAUACCUCAGUGACUGUUGUUGUGAAAUACUAUUUACUAUUUUUUUUUCUUUUUGGUCCUUGAUGAAAUUAAUGUGGGAAUGCAGUAUGAUGCCGGAUGCUAAAGUAGAUCAGUAGAUUAAUUUUAGUCUCUUAUGUAUGCAACAGAGUUCUGAACAGUCUUUGGGUGAGGCUGUCAUGCUGAAUAAUUUCUUUAUCCAUUGAUCUCUAUUCAAGACUUGAACUUCAGUAACUGGACAUCUCAACAUCAUAAAAUAGUCAAAACUUGAAAGGAGACAUUAAAUUACAAAAAAAAAAAAAAAAAAAAGGAAAAAAAGUUAUACCUCUUUUCACUUUAAUUUCUUUCUUUCUUUCUUUUUUUCUUUAAUCUCACUAAAAAAAAAAAUAUCAAAAUGUACUGUACUAUGAUUUUUAUUAACCAGUUCUUACAACUUGCAACUGAUUGUCUCAGCUUGAAUUUAUCUGUAGUAUACAGAAUUCUCUUGCCCAUUCACAAAGAAAAAGUAUUAUUUAGAGUAGUUCUCAUCCACAGCUUCCUCAUUACUGGAUUUAUGUGAAAAGCAGAUCUUAUUUCCCAUGGUUAUUCACACAGAAGUUUUCUUUUUAUGACUUGAAAAAUAGGGUUAUUCUUCUUUCCUUGAUACUUGAUGCUUUUAGUUUAUUCCUAUAGCAAAUAGAAGCAGAGGUUCUCCAGUUCCUAAGUGCUAUUGGUGCUUUUUAUGUGUAAUAACUGGACUUAACACAAAAAAUAAAUUUUUAUCCAGUUAUUUUAUGCCAAAAUCAACACUCUCCACAGUCUGUACAUAUACUGGUAUACUGGUAUUGCUUCUAUCUUGAUUCAGAGUACAGCCACCAUGUUAAUGAAGUGUUAGCAGAUAUGUAAGAAGUUAUCUAAGAAACAUUAUUUUAGUUUUUUGAAACUGCUCUGCAAAAACAUUUCUUUUCAGUUAGUAAUUGCUUAGAGCUUAUAAAGUUGAAUGAAAGAUAAAAUAGAUCUUCCUUUUUUUCAACUACUUAACACAACAAGCAUUCAUUUUUUCCCCUGGAUCUAAACUGGAACUUUUGAAGAAUCUGAUCUUACCUUUCACCCAGAAAGAGGAGGAGAGAUCAAAGAACUCUCUCUGUUACCUUCAGCUGGUCUCUGCAAUGCCGUUACUGCUGCUGCUACAGAGUCCAGGUAAAAUAUUCUGCAUUGACUGAGUUAAGAGAUUACACUAAACCAAGCAAGUUUAGGGAUAUGGCAGAUGUCUUCACUUUUGUUUCCUUUCAUUGCUGAUGAGGAUUACCUUAUGAUUUAACCAACAUCCCGAUUACAAGGACUGAGUUUGGAAGAACAAUGAUGCUUCAGAUAAAAUGUCUUAUCCUCUUUGCAGAAACAGGAAGCUAUGGCAGUGAUGGAAGUGCAAACAUCAGAGGAUCCCAAGAGUACAGCAGUGACUUGAGAGAGCUGAAUGUUAGAACAGUGGAUAUUCAUUGAAGAAGUCAUGGAAGAGUCAUUCCCUGGAAGGGACAGGUAACUCCCUGGAAAGACAUGAAAAAAAUCACUACCAUUAGCCUGAUAGAGACCAUUCCCUCCAAGAAGUAUGGCACUUCAUUUGGGGCAGCUGCUGCUGCGCCACUCAAAGAUAGACUGAUGCACUCUGGGAGAUCAUAAGCCAUAGGAUGUGAGGGAGAGCAAGACAUGAAGGAGUUCACUUCAUACCUGAUGUUUGUUGCAGUCAACUCACAGGAAUAAAAGUAAGCUUCCAGUGCUGUUUGUCUGAAAUAUGCACUCCCUUCCCUGCAAUAAUCUCUAAGACAGAAACUAUGUCAACAGAGACAAGAAUUCUCAUUCUUUCUAUUAUGCUUUCAGCCCUAAGCAGUCAGUAAGGUCUGAGCUGCCCAAGUUCUGUACAGUAUCAUCCAUAAUUCAUAGAUUUCUGGCUUUCCAUUAGCUCAGCAUCAGAAAUUGAAGAGUCUGAGCGUUGCAAGGUGAUUAAGGACUUUUUUUUCUGAUAUGUUGCUUCUUUCUAAGGCUGAAUAUAGGUUUAUUUUCUGUACAAGUGCUCUUGCUAAUAGGUUAUCAUGAAAGAGGUUGUCACUAAAACAUACGAGUUCUUGUUGCAUGUAACUUAUCUUUUCCAGGAUCCAUAAAUUCUACAGCAAAAUAAAACUCAAAGUUUGAGGAAGAAGGAGCUUUUCUCUUCUGAACAAACACUUGAGUGUGUGUGACUAGGUAAUUUAAACCUGUACAGAAUUAAGACUUAAGUUGAGAACAGCUAAAAGAAUAUGGAUAUCUAUUUAGAACCCCUGAAGAAAAGGAGGAAUAGAUCUCUAACUAUAACUGUGUUUCAAAUGCUUUAUUUCUCAUCUGGUUUUAUGAAGACUAUUUCCACAGGGUAAUUUUGUAUCUUUCCAUUAUGAGAUAACUGUUUUUUGUAUUAAAGGGAAAUACGGAACAUAUCCCAUCUAUCUUGGCAUUAGUGAAGCCGUUAAUUUAGUACAAAGUUGAAAUUUUAAAGUUAAAAUGAGGAAGAUUGGGUUUUUAGUAAACAGUGAUAAAGUUGGAAAAGAAGUAGCUGAAAGAGAGGAAUUGGCUUUUUAAAAAGAAAAAAAGGAAAGAGAUUUGUAGUGAAAUUCUUAAAGGUCAGAUCUUAAGAAAGGAUUCAUAUAGUGUAUAGCAGAAAUUAAACUGAAUGGUAUAAUGGUAAGAUCAUUUGUUUUAGCACAGAACCUUAGGUGCAGAAGGCUUGAAAUCAAUUAUGGGACUAUGAGGGUUCAAAAAUGAGGUGUAGCUACUAGAAAAUGAGAGUAGUUUCUGAAUACAUCAGAAAACAUAUGUUUGUGUGCAGGGGAACUGUGGUGCACUGAUGAUUUGUCAUCUACAUUACUAAAUAUAGGUCAGUUCACCCAUAAUCAAGCUAAAAAAUUCAUGAAGAAACUCUAUUAGAAUAAUAUAGGGAAGGAUGCAUGCUUUAUAAAGCAGGGACACCAAAAGAGUUUGGCUUAUUUAAUAAAAUGAAGGAAUAAAAGACAGAAUUGUUCUUUCAGCACUGGUAGAAGUACAAGAGAUGUUCAAACCAACGUACAGUUCUGUGAUGUCUAUAAGUGGGUGUUAAAGUGAACAAUAAUGUAUUUAAAUAAACAAGCAGAAGAGACUUGUUAACAAUGAUAGGAAAGAAGUUUUGGAGCAGUAGACCAUAAAGAGAGGAAAGCAAAAGCAAAUGUAAAGUUUGGUAAUGUAGUGGAAUUUCAAGGUAACAGCCUGAACCAAUGGGUGGGCUAUGUGAGUGUGAGGGUGCCUGGAGCCGGGGGGUGGGAGGGUUUGGAGCCACCCCUUCUGUCUCUGCAAUACUUCCUGUGCAAUCUGAGUCUGCGCAGGUCCCGCUUUUCCCCAGCCCUUCUCUCUGGUGGUGCGACGGUCUGAAAGGAGGAGGGUCACAUUCCUCAGCUCAUCCCUUUCUCCAAACUUACUGGGAGGAGUGAGUUAAUUCCUUUUUGAUAUCUUUUCCUAUAGCGCCUAUUUCUCAAAUAAAGGCUCUGUCAUUGCCUUUGUUUGCUCUACAAGUAAAUAGCCAAUAAAAGGAACAGGCAAAGGCAGAACAUGGAAGUUUAUGAAAUCUUUCAAAUAACGUGGUCAUCUCUAGUAGAAGGGGAUGACCCAGGAAGUUCUGUGUUCAUGAGAGAAAUAGGAGAUAUCAGUGGUGGAUAUCAAAGAAAUAUUUAAGAAAGCCUGAUCACUUGUCUACCAUUUUUCUCCCUAAUACCAGUUUCAUGAACAGAUGAGCUGCAACACUAUUUUUCAGGUGAUACCUGAUAAUCAAUUCUGAUCACCGUGGCACUUUGCUAAUACCACUGCUGUUGCUGUUAAAAGGUUUCUCUUCUCUUUGCUGGACUGUGUAAUCUACUUGUUCACAUAAGUUUCCUUGAAACAUUAACAGCUGUUGCAAACUACCCAAAGCACAACGUAUAGCUAUCUACUGCCUGAGUAUAUCCAAGUAUUUAUGAGUUCGCAUAAUUGCACUGGAAUUUAUUUCUCUUCAGGAACUUGAGAACUUACAGAGCUAUUAAAGAUUUAAUACAGCCGGAAAUAUUGUUAUUGCUUUCUACAGGAGUAAGUGUAUGCAUUUUGUUAUUUGCCUUUUUUUCUUAUAACAAGUAUGUAAAUGAGAAAUAAAUACUGAAAGCUGCACAGCACUAUAUCUCCCACACAAAGGGAAGUCAUUUUAAAAAUAGCUUAUGCUUUGAACAGGAAAAUGGAAAAACACACAGAGUAACAAGGCACUAUGGCUAUUCAGCUUUCUGAUAAAAAGAAAUCCAUCAACGGUUUGCCUUUAACAGUUUGGCUGCACUCUUUUGUAGUAAAAGAUAAAAAUAUCAGUUGUGUUCCAGAGAUUUAGUGGGGGGAAAAAAAAAAAAGUGACUUUACUCUUAUUGUUACAUAGGAAUAUGUUAGGAAAGCUUAUAGCAGGCAGUAACAAUUCAUGUACUGAAAGUCUAAGUUAUUGAUAACCUGAAGAUUUCACCAACUGAAGUUCAAAUAUAUUUUCAGUAACUCAGUGAUAUCUUUGAGUUUGCUUAGACUGUACUUUGGAAGAUUUCAAUAAGUGAGAUUUAAUGUCAGUUUAACAAUGUGCUUAGCACAUGUUGAAUACAUAUACUGAGUAGAUGAACAAAAGGAAUAUUUGUUAUAUAGCAUUAGAAUUUAAAGGAGACCAAACAAAAACAAAGUCUUGAAUAGAAUGGAAAUGGAAGGAAGAAAGAAAUGUAUGUCCUUGACAACAGUUUAUAAGCAGAGGUAUGUAUUUUGUACUUAUUACUCUUUGUUACAGACCACUGGAGUUGGGAAAUAGAUAAUUGUUUACUACAAAAUAACUGCUAAUGUAAUCUGGACUUUCUUAAUGAAAAACACAUUAUACCUCUGACUCUUCAAACUCAGCAAAUUUAUUUAAAGAUUGACUAAUACUGAUUAUUGAGAGCUGCAGAGAAUUCAAAACCAUAUGAGAUCCUUGCUUUAAAGAUUGAUGUUAGAAGAUUUAAAGGUAACAAUCUUGGGGAAUAAAGAAGAAACUUAAUGUUUGCUUUCUUGAUGUUAUUUCACUGUCAAGUUGUAUCUUCAUAAGUAAGCUAGAGAAAUAUAUCUUAAUGAAAGUACUGCAAAGUAUGAGUUUGCUAGGUAAACACAAUUUUCAGAAAGCAACUUAUUUGUUCAUUAUCAGAAAAGAAGGAAGACAGACUAAUAUUUCAAAUGAAAAUUAAUAACUAUUAUUACUUAAUAAGAAACAUUUCAUUGUCCUUGCAGGUGGUAUACUGCUAAAACCACUAGGAGAAUGUGGAAGAAUAAAGAAGAAAGGAUAUAAUUUGAAGAUAAUAAUAAUAAUAAUAAAAAGUUAUAAUAAACUGGAAGAAUGAUGCCUAAAAUAAUCAAUUAAGAAAUAGCCAGAAGUUCGGCGUCCCUCAGGGGCCUGUACUGGGACUGAUGCUACUUAAUACCUACGUCAAUUACGUAGACAGUGGGAUGGAGUGCACCCUCAGCAAGUUUGUGAAUGACACCAAGCUAUGCGGUACAUUUGACAUGCCUGAGGUAUGGGAUACCAUCCAGAGAGACCUAGACAGGUUUGAGCAGUGGGCCUAGGGGAACCCCAUGAGGUUCAACAAAACCAAGUGCAAGGUCUUGCACCUGGGUCGUGGCAACCCCCGCUAUCAAUACAAUUUGGAGGAUUUAAGGAUAGAGCACAGCCCUGCUGAAAAGGACUUACUGGUAGACAACAAGUUGGGCAUGAGCCAGCAGUGUGCCCUCACAGCCCAGAAAGCCAAUCAUAUCCUGGGCUGCAUCAAAAGAAGCAUCACCAGAAGGUCAAGGGAGGUGAUCCUGCUCCUCUACACUGUGCUGGUGAGACCUCACCUGGAGUACUGUGUCCAGAUGUGGAGUCUCUCAGUACAGGAGAUACACAGACCUGUUGGAGUGUGUUCAGAGGAGAGCUACAAAAAUGAUCCAAGGGAUGAAACACUUCCCCUGUGAGGACAGGAUGAGAGAGCUGCGGCUGUUCAGCCUGGAGAAGAGAUGGCUCCAGAAAGACCUGAUUGUGGCUUUUCAAUAUUUAAAGAGGGUUGUAGAAAAGGAGGGGACAGACUUUCAGCAUGGUCUUUUGUGAUAGGAUAAGGGAAAUGGUUUCAAACUAAAGAGGAAGAUUUAGAUUAGAUAUAAGGAAAAAGGUUAUUGCAAUAAGGUUGUAAUACCCCAACCUGCAGUUGGUUGCCUGGAGAGGUGGUGGAUGCCUCCUCCCUGGAGAUAUCCAAGGUCAGGCUGGUCAGGGCUCUGAGCGACCUAUCUAUCCGUCCCUGUUCAUUGCAGGGGAGUUGGACUCGAUUACCUUUAAAGGUCUUUUCUGACACAAACAGUUGAAUGAUUGUAUGAGUGAAAUGAACAGAUUCUUCUCAUAUGUAUGGUUCUCACUAUUUAGCACUUAACAUGAGUUAUGUUUAUUCAUUGAUUUAUUUACUGCUUCAUCGGAAUGAAUACAGAGCUAGGUGGUUACUUAGAUUGUUAGAGAGCUACCAGAGACAGCAUUGAAAAGUAAAACCAUCUCCUAAGCCUCCAUGUGUUUAUCAAAAUUGGUCAUAAAAAGACCAAGAAAGAAGUAGUUAGUAGUUAUAAGUAACAGUGAGGAAAAAUUAAAUUACCUGGUAAUUAUUUUUUAUUUUUAUGCAUUAGUUGACCCUCUGAAGACCUCAUAACUUAGAUAAUGCCUUGUGAUCUCAUUGUUUUAUUCUAAUCUAAUAAUAAUUAAACAGAAAGUUAUUUCCAACUCUAAGGAAAAAUUUCAGCUGUGGAUAAAAUGUUUCCAAACAGAAAAGAAUUUGGAAAGAGAGUGCAAACUCUCUUUUCUUUAUCAUCCUUAAAGGAAAAGGGAAAAUAAUGUAUUUUUAUUUUAUGAAUAGAGGAUCUUCCAUUUAGAAUGCUUGGUUUGUUCUUGAAAAAUGUCUGAAGGAAUAUUAAUGAGAGAAGAAAAAACAAAUACAAAAUAAAUAAAUACCUAUCCCCUUACUGAACAUGAAACCAUUAAAAAAAAAAAAAAAAAACUGUAACGGCCACAAUUCACAUUAUGAUGAUAUCCUGAAAUUGUGUGUGAGAUCUAAAAGAGACCAUAUAGAUUCAGUGCAGUUGAUCUUAGGGUAGUAAGUGGAGAUUUUGUAUCUCUCAGAAGGUAUGGUUAUCCUUAAAGCACUGCUUAAAGAGUUAGAGGUUUUUUUUCCUGUUGGAAACUCUUUGCAAUAUUUCAAAUGAAAUCUUUCUUUUAAACAUUACAGUCACCUAGAAAGAAAGGAUAGAACCAUUUUGUUUCAUGUUGGCCUAGUAGUCUGUGGAUUUAUGGGCGUGUUUAAACUCUGCUCUAGUGAGACAAUAUGUCACAAAUAUUGUAUUAUUUUGUUAUUUUCUGACCAUCAACCUGAUGCUUGCUACUAUCCAAUGCCCUUCAGCCUGUACUCUGUAUGCAGGUUGAAAUAAGCCUGUACUUAUUUUGUGACAUAUUCGAAAAGAAUAGUAAAACAUUUAUAAGAAAAUCUAGACAUUUGCUCUUACACAAAGAAAAAAUGUUAGUUUGGGUGAAAAGACACCACAGCAUUUUAGGAAUUCCUUUUGAAGAAACCAUAUUUUGGAGAACUUUUGUCUAUGACUGCAACAUAUUACUGCACAUACUGCAGCAAAGUGCAAGCUGUGUGUCUGCAGUUUAAUCAUCUUUAAAGUGAUGAAGAGCAGGAAUUUUAUUUUCAGAGGGGAAAGAUGAGAAACAAAUCUAUCAAAAUUUGUUCCGUGAAUUCAGAGCGCAUGGGGAUUUAUUUUCAAAACAGAAACUGGUUUGUUUCUGAGAAGCAAAUUCUAUUAUUGUUUAACAGGAUUUGGGGGCAGAAUUGUCAUAAACUGACUGAACACUUACUCUGCAGGAGUUUUUUUAGCUGAGGAAAAAGGUUGGCAAAACAAUUUGUUUCUGUGGAUUUUUUUAGUGAAUUCAGCACGUGCCCCAGAAAAGGGCAUUUAUCUCAUUUUGAAAGCCACUUUCAUAUUCUUUCCCUAACUUGCUUACUGUUAGCUAAAACACUAAAUUAGAAAGAGUUAUUUCAAGUCCAACCCAAGGCUUAAUUUUACUUUUGGGGAAGAAAGUUGGAUUCCUAAAAUCAGUGGGGAAAAAAGAAAGAACAGUAAUUUCUGCGGAGGAACAGCAAUAAAUACGUGCACACUUUUUUUUGCCUGUGUAUGAAGUGUAAGGCACAACAGAAUGAUUUAAACUUGCAUUCACCCAGAAUGAUUUUUUUUUUCCCCUUCUAUAUCGUACUCUUGUUCUGAAACCUCACAUCUUAUCCAGGGUUUAAUAUAUCUUAGGGUGCAUUAAUUUAAUAAUUUUAGAAUGCUUUCAAAACUCUAAGGCUUAUUAUUUUAUUACCAGGAGUUUGUAACUUAGGCAGAAUACUGAAUAAAUUUUGUCAACCUUUCGUGCUUACUUUCUGGAGAAAAGGGGAAAAGGAUUAUUGAGACCUAGGGAUGGUCCGUGCCUGAGAAAGGAACUCUGUAAUCAGGUGUGGGGCCAGGAAUUGGACUCUGAUCCUUCUGGGUCCCUUCCAAAUUGUCAUAUUCUAUGAUUCUGUGAUUCUGUGCUUAGCCCAUACGUGACUAUCUCACCUAGGCUGCUGCUUUGAUGUGAUGGAAACACUCCUUGCAUCUUUAGCAGAAGGGGCCUUCCUAAUACAAAACAGUUACAAAGAGAUAGAAAAUCCCAAAGGAGUUCUUAGAGAGCAGCACAGCUCACUGAAUUAUCUCUGUGUUUUCUAUUUUAAACGUUGUGUUUCUUUUUUAAUUAUACAUUGAACUUCUGGCUGUUCCUGGAUAAUUUUCAUCACAGAAGGUUUGGAAGCGUGCAAAAUUUAGGGAUGAGGAUUUUGAACUAUGUGUGGAAUGCUUCCUCUUUCAGUGUUUUUGAUCAAGAGCUCAACUUCUUUUUUUGUGUACAGUAUUUUACAAAAAACAAGUCAUUUGAUGCUGGGCACUCAAAUGGACAAAUACAGGCUGGCAAAAUACCUCAGAAAAAUGAAUGGGAUAUUUCACUGUCCCUCAGGCCUUUCAAUAUUCAUAUUCUUCACAGUAUUUUCAGUGCAAUUGUUAUUGCUUCGCUAAAGCAAACUGCCUUUCCCAUAGAAAUAGUUAUUCAUUUGGCUGUUCAUCAUUUCAGAACAGGGACUGUGUUCUUUCCAAAUGCACGUAAAAGCUUCUGAAAUAUAUGAGAGAAGUUCUAAUCUCAUCCACUUUCUAACCAGAAAGACUAUGUGGAUGGAAAGUUUUAGGAUGCAUUUUCAGCAGUUUUGAACAAAACUAACAGGGUUUGGCAGAGUUCCUUGCUUAUGAAUAGAGAAAGAUUUGCAGAACUAGGUAACUACUUAAACUUGGAAACACAGCAAGCACGGAAAACAAACCAGCAAACACAACCAACAAACAUUCCAAAGACAUUUGUUUUUUGGAAUAUGUUUGCUAAGUUUUGGAUGAGAAAUUUUUUAAUGGUCUUGUUACGUUGGUAACUGUGGUCAGACAGGUGACAAAUUUUCAGACAACACCUAUAGGUUUCUGAGAGGAGUUUGAUGAUGUGAUGGCCUUGUGGCCUCCCAAGGAACAACCUCGAACACUCCAUCAUCCUCCUGUCUUGAUUCUGAACACCUGUCCAACAUUAACACAUAUUCUUCGCAGAGAGAGAAUAAAGAAGAGAAAAAUAUAAACAUCUAAAUGAAGAAAUAAAUGAGUGGAUGUAUUAACUAAAUAAGGGAUUUAAUUGGAUUGCUUUUGUCCUGUGAGCUUAUAAUUAGCAGAUUUUUAUUUAUGGCAGAAAGACCUAUCCUUAGCAUAUAUGCAGAGCUAUAAGAUAGGUAGAGCUCAGGGCAUUUUUAAUAGAUUCUCACUUUAUAAUUUGCAGGAGACAAAAAUCUUUACGCCAGACUCUGCUCUCAGUUACAAGAGCACACUGGAAUGCACCUUUAAUGUGUCUUGUCAGUUUUAUUUUCCCUUAACCCUUGUAUUUGCACAUUUGGAAAGAUUUUAUGACAAAACGGUCCCUGGCAAUUUUGAGUGUGGUUAAAUAUUACUUUUUAUAAUAUAAAGUGGAAGCAUAAAAUAAUCCCUUAGAGGCUGCAAUCUAUUUCUUCUUAAGUGUUUCCUUGCUUAGCAUGGGGCCAGAAGUUUAUCACCAUUACUUUGCCUACAAAUGAACUGUAGACGUUUAGAGAAAUAUAUUUAAUAUAUUUUAAAUAGGUAAAGAAUGUAAUGAAAUUUAUUCUGCAACAAACAGUUCUUCCCUGAGAAAAAAAAAAAAAAAAAAAGAGAUGGUUUCCAUAUUUGUGUGUAAGAAAAGGAAUUUGUUUGUGAUCUGUUAACCUUGCCAUCUUGUCUUUAAAUAUUUGUUCUCAUCAAAUCCUUGUCAUGUCAUGAUGUCAAAGGAGGGAAAAUGUCUAGAGAAAAGCUUUCAUCUUCGAACAAGUAGGUGGAAGACUGUGAAAUGUCACCCUGACUUUGACUUUGUUUGUUUAUUGCUUAUUUCUGUUGAUUCUAGUGCAUUCAGCAGGAGAUCUGUUAGAACUCACAACCCCUUAGCUACCAGUAAUAGCUUUGGAUAAGGCAUCGAAUACUGCAGCUGACCUAGAAUCUUGCUUCUCUUAACAAAAAUGUUAAAAUGUCUCUAUCCAAAUGUGCUUUAUUCUGCCUCUUAUUUUGGCACUGUGCUUCUCUUAAGCCUAAUUAUCUCUAUAUAAUUUUGAAAGCAUUGAAGUGACAAUUUUAUGCCAUUUUCUAUUUUGGACACUGAUAAACUAUGAGAAAAAAAUUUAAAAAAAAGAAAAAAGAAAAAAAAAAAAAGAAGAAUAGAUGAAUUAGGUCAGGCUGACCUAAUCUUUUAACUCUAAUGUCAUCUACAGUGCAGCUCAGACUGUAGUUCCAAUUGUGUUUCUUGAUAAUAUGAUGUCAUUUAGAAGUGUAUGAGAAAGGUUUUACCACUGACUAUUAAGUUGUCUGUAUUGAAGACAAAAGCACAUGUUUAAAACACCGCCAGAGGUAAACUGCAGGGAGAAUAAAGUGCAAAAACCUGUUGCUUUGAUAUUGUUACAUUAUCUAGACCAUGGUAAUGGAAAGAGGAUUAGCUGGGAAGGUAAUCUGAGUUACUGGAGGAACCAAGUCUCAAUACCAGCCUGAUGACACUCCUUUGGAAGAUGCUUUAAAGACAAACUAAAAUCCAUCCAUAAGCAGAGAAUCAAAUUUAUAAUUCUUAGUGUGCUUUAUUGAUAUUGCUGAGACUGAAAUGAUGUAUUUAGCUAUUUAAAUCUCUUAUUUCAAUGAUGAGAAUACUCUUCUGUCUAGAUAAUUUAAAGAAAUCAAUUUUCCUUAAAAUUAUGUUUUUGUUCAUAAUACAAUGUAUCUUCUGUACUGGAAAAAAUCGUGAGAAAUUUUAAGGCAGUUUUCAGAGAAAGACAAGAAAAAUAAACAAAAAAAGUGCUUGAGGUCAAGUGCAAAGAAGUUGUCAGUGGAUAGACUUCUUCUUAAUCUGAUAGUAUCUGGAACAGAAACAAGAUUGCAACAGUUAGGUUUCAGAAGGGAAAGUGUCACGACUGUUUGGCGAAUUCCAGUAAUUGCUUGUUUAAUUUGCUAUUAUUCACUUGACAUUUCAUGCAUCUGAUUUCCCAAUAUCUAAAAUCCAUAUAAUAAAUCCUCACUGUUGUGAAGUGUAUCAAAAACUAAAUAUAAACAGGUUAUCCACUCCCUUUGUGUUACGAGAGCUCAUUUUCCCUGUAGGUUUGCCUUCAUAUAUAGUAUUACUAGAAUCAGGCCCCUGCAUGGAACAUUUGGUUGCUACUUCAUAUGCUAAGUAAAUGUUCUGAGCUGUUUGUUUAGGAGAAACUGUGACCAGUUGUUUUAGGCCAUCAAGCCGCUUAAUUUGACUAGAAAUUUCAAUAACUGUUUCAUUGGAAAUCUGAUAGAAAGAAUUGUAUCAAAAUCUAUGAGUCUAAUUUAGGUUUUGCUAUGCUCUGAUUUGAUGUGGAAUGCUUUUGUGUGUAGAAAACAGAUAAGCUUCAUUUUAAGACGACCUUAAGGAAGGUUAUGCUAUGCUCUAGAAAUAUAAUUAGAUUUAUUUAGCUUAAUGUAUUUUCUAGUUUUGAUUUCUACAAAUAACUGAUAAACUGAAUAGGCACAAGGUGUUUUUAUUCUGAAAUGAACUGUAGCCAUCUAGUUUUUCCAAAGGCUGCUAUUGCACUUAACAUUCACGUUCUUAUCUUACCCCAAACCAUCAUUAAAUGAAAGAAAAUACUUUAUUUUGGUGUACUUGCCAUUGUCUUGAAAUUAGUUUAAAAUGGACAAAUUAAACUUCAUUUGAAUGUUAGAUAAAGGAUUUUGCUGACUCCUAUGUUUGAUGGUUGGGUUUCCCCAGGCCCAGUGACUAAUGGACACAAUGUCAAAGAAGCAGAAGCCCCUGAAGUACCAGUGAGCUUUUAAUGUUCAUUCAUAAUGGCACUGAUUGGCACAAAGGGAAAAUUAAUAAAACUAGUGUAUAGUCAAGGGAAACCACAUCUAAUAUUUUCUAAUGUUCCUGCCUUUACUCAUUAAACCUCUCUCUGACCCUUAAGAGGCUCACACCACCUCUGAUGCAAGAGCUUUUUUCUGUGUAAUGCUUACAAUCUGAGAGAGCCUUGCUAUAUUUCUCUGCCUCAUCGACAAUUUCUCUUUUUAAAAAUUGUCAUGGAAAAAAGGUGAACAUUUUCCCCCUAAGCAGAUUCAUUCCUCUCUCAUGCCCCUUUCUCGUCUCUGUAGAUAAAAACUGCUACAUUAAAUAAAAAUAUACUGUAAGCAAAGCAUAGUAAACAAAUGCAAUUCAGGGUAAAACUGAAUGCCCACUAAUCAUUUUUCUCUGCUUAUUUUUCUUUGACAG